CUUAAUUUGUGCUUCUUUUGUUCCGCACGCCUCGGACAGAGCCUUAAUAAUCGAAGCAUCCCCAAUCCCAAGCUCCAAUCCUUCAUGAGCUGGAGCAAUCGGUUCGCCAAAAGGUAAACAACAGCCACCAAAUCCUCUGGCGUCGUUUCCAUCACAGUCCUCAACAUGUUACAAACAAUUGCAGUUAUCGCAAUCCGCCCUGAUUCUUUAGAAAUAGCAUCCAACGCCUUGCUACAAACAUAAACGGCACCCUUUGUCCCUUUCCCCAAUAUGCCGCCUUCUUGGGAUCAAAACUUGCCGCCUUAUCCUUCAACUCAAGAAGGCUCUCAUCAGGAGUAAUUGCCACCUUAGGUUUCUUAACCACCGCUUCCUCACUUUUCCCCAGCUGGGCAUCCUUAAUCUUGCUCGAAUCGUCAUUUUUCAUAUCUUUUUCCAGCUGGGCUUCUUUAAUUUGAGCUGAAUCAGGUUCUUUGACUGAAAUCGGAGCAGAAUUUUGAGAAGUGAUGAUGGGGGUGGGGGUUUUGCGUUUCUUGGGAGAUGUUUUUGUUGUUUCUGCUCGGACUUUUUCUUGCUAGCAUUGGACAUGAGGAGGUCGAAGGCAGAAGGGCGAGAAGCCAUUGCUGCUAGUGAUCCUGGAUUAACUAAUGGAAUCGAGAGAAAGAAGGAUCUCUGAGAGAAGGGUUUUGCGGGAAGGAAGAAUAGAUGAGAAAGUAGGGCUUAAAGCCGAGUGGUUUUCUGAGGGGAAACGAAAGAGUGUGGUGGUAAAGUGGAGUGAAGAAGAGCAUGACCUGAAUGCGGUGAGCAACAGCUGCCGUUUUUCUGCUACGGAGAGGGAGACAACUGACACGGGUUGCUGUUGCGGAUGCGGAUGGCUAGGAGGGAAGAGGAAGGCAAAUGGCAGGAAAGGAAAUUGAGGGUUUUGUGCACUUAGGAUUGAAAAUUGCCAGAAAAGCCUUUGGAAAAAAAUUGCUGGGGAAGCCUUUUUUGUGUUUGGGCGAUGAGUUGUUAGCAAAAUCUUGAGAGAGGGACUAAAAUUUUCAUUUCGUAAGCUAGCAAUAGGUGACUUGAAAUUUGUGAUUUGAAGGUUUGAGGUGUACCCCCCAAAAAAAUAAUAACAAAGUCGUAAGCUAGCAAUAGGCAGACUAGUGAGUUAGUGGUUUAUUAGUGGUUUAUUAUACGUUUUCUUUCACUAUGUUCACACUCUGAAGUCUGAAUUAUUCCAACCCAAUUGAUGAAAAAUGUUUUAAAAAUGUUUAGGACAAGUGCAAUAUCCACAUAGUUUAUUUUUGUGAUAUGUCGCAUCGUGGAGUGGAAACGGCAUGCAUAUAUGCUUGGGCUCGUGAGUUAUCAAGUAAUUUAGAUUAAUCAUAUUUUGUACCAUAAUUUGGAUCAAAAGUUAAUUAGGCCAACCCGUGGAUCAAAAGCGUUACAAUUUUGACUUAUUUUAUUGAUUCAAGUUUGUUCAAAAACUUUUUUUGGUAAAAAAUUUAUGCGACAUGGAAACAUAAUUUGGUGAAUUCACAAAACCAUGUAUAUUGCACAUGCCAAAAUCAGCUCGAAAGUGGAUUGUCCAACCCAAUUGUAAUGAUACAAGUUUUAAAAGAUUAGCAAAGAUGCAUACGAAGUAAAAAAAGGUGAUUAGCAAAUGUGUUUACGAAAAAAAAAUUUAAAAGAAAACAGUUUUCCAAAAUUUUAACUCUCGCACCCAUUCCUACACUUUUCUACUCCCAACUGUCAAGUUCAGAAUUCGAACUUUGAACUCGACGACGUUGGUCAUUGGACCAAUCCCAAUGCUUAAUUUUACCAAACUUGCAAAACAAGAAAUAAGAAUAAAGACCGACCAAAACGUCUAUAAGUAUACUGAUCAUCACAAAUAAUAUAAAAUCUGUUUUGACUUGCCAAACUUAGGUUAUUUGCAUGAGUUUCUUCAUUGUUUUUUAAUUUUAAUAAUAAUUGAUAUCCCUCUUCUGAAGUCUCUCCACAGUCUCCACACACGGGGUUGAUGGAACAGUUUUUGAAUGAGAGCCAUUCAAGUCAUGUUGUUGAUUGGAGUUCCAGAAAAAAAAAACUCCAAAUUCCGUCUGCAACUGGCUGGGGUACGCUGGUACGAACAAAAAAUCUAUAAUAAGAUAAACAAUGGAAUGUAGUUGUAAUGAUGAACCCCUACCUAAACCUAAAUAAACGGAAUAAUUAAUACACCACCAAAUCAAUAAUUGUAUCAUAUUCUACAUGUUCUUUCCUUCUCGAACUAGCUUGCAACUGGUUUUGAUACGUCAGGUUUCUUUACAGGGACUAGACUACAACUACUUGUAUGGAGGAAGAAACUCCAAGUUCCUGAGUCCACGAAUUUCGGAUCCCACCAGUGAUUUUUGUGUUGUUGGUCAUGAUUAGUUUCUUCUUAUCUUCUCCCAGUGCAGGACGGUUGGUCAACUGAACAUGCAAGUUGAUAAUUGCUCAAUUCUUCAAUGAUAAUAAUGUUGAUGAAAAACUCACAAAUUAUGCAGAACGAUCUGGAGCAGAAGGGCCUGCAUUGAUUGCUUAUCAUGAGAAUCCACUUCACUUGGGCAGAGAGCUAGGGGGUGAGCAUGAGAAAUGGCAGCUACCCGUUUGGAUUGCAUUUUUCGUCAUUUUUCAUGAAAAAAUUACUGUAGCGAUUUGAUGUACGUAAGGAAAAAAGAUAAUAGAAAAAUGUGUUCACGAAAAACGACGCAAUUUUCUGGUAAAAAAUGGCAAUCCAAACACACUGGCUUCAACUACUUGGUCCACUAAUAUUGCUGCUGCAUAUGGAGGUUGAGAAACAGGGAUGGUGUUGGUUUGUGGGUCCCCCUUAGACUGACUUUAGGGUCCGUUCUUUCGUUGACUCAUGAGUGUUUCUAAUCUAACUGUGUGUGUUCUUCUUCUGUCUAUAGAAAAAAGAAAGUGUAGUAAACUUUUUUCAUUCUUAUUACUCCUCCGUCCCACUUUGAUAGUCUGUUUUUUUUCACACAAUUUAAGGAAAAAUAGUUAAUUUUGUUGAAAAAGUAAAUUUAGAUUGCCAUUUUUCUAAAAUAUCCUUACAUUAAAUAUGGUACAACUUUAUGGGAACUUAGAAUUGAUGGUAAAAAAAGAAUAAACUCUUAUUAAAUGGAGUAGAUUUAUAGUAACAACUACUUACAUUGAAUAAGGGUAUAUUAGAAAAAUUAAAAUACAACUACAUUCUUCAAUUGAAAAGUGGACUACAAUUUGGGAUAGAUGAAAAAGGAAUACAGGACUAUCAAAGUGGGACGGAGGGAGUAUGAUACUUUUAUUAUAGUUCAUAAGCCCAAAAAAAAAAGAAAGAAAGUGUAGUAACAUUUGAUUCGUAGUCAUUAUAUAUAUUAUUAAAAUGCAUGCAUAUACAUUUAUAAUAUUUUUUUAAUUUAAUUUCACACUUUCAAAAAAAGUACUACUGUAUGAAAUCAUUUUGGCAGUGUCCACUAGAUAGCAUUAGACAAUUAAGACAUAAUAGGGAUUGCAAUAAUGUUUUUAAAAAAAAAAUUCCAAUCAGUAACCGACACACUACUCAUUUUCCAACAUAGAACUACUGAAUUCAUGGCCACAGAAAAGGGAUUAAAUUUCUCUUUUAACUAUAAAUUGAGGGUUCGAACUUCACUUAUAAUAAAAAAAUAAUUUAAAGGAGAUAUUAAAGUAUUCUUUUGAUUUAAUCAGAUUUUUAUAUAGAGUCUUUUUAGACUUUUUUCCUUUAAAUUAAGACAGAUUAAAUUAUAAAAAUAUUUAUCGAUGUUAUAAAAUAAAUAAGUAUACCAUAGCUUUCUAGUCAAAACAGGAAAAAGCUGAUAUGAUGAGUGAUGACCCUAGUCGCAGAUCCCAAAACACUGUCCACCUGAAUAUGCAUAUAAUUUUGGCUGGCUACACGAACGUGCAGGUUGUAAGACGGGGGAAGGAUGGUUAGGCAAGCUUGUUUUUUGGGUAAGAGAGGAGUUCUUGGUUAGACGAGUGAGAGCGUACGUGACUGUGCACUUUUUUUUUUUUUUUGGGAUAGAGCUCUAUUGGCAAAAAAAAUCUUUAAUAGCACCGCAAAUAUGUUUUUGUAUUACUUUUUAAUAUUUUUUUAUUUCAUAUACAUUACAUUAUAAAAAAUCUUAUGCUAUUUUUUAAAAAUAUUAUUCCAAAUAAUAUUCUAUCCAAAUACACUAGACUAUUUUAUUUGCAUCAUAUUCAAUCACCUUUUAAUUAUUUUACAUGCAUCGUAUCAUAUAGAAUGUGCUGUAAUGUUAACCUAAAUAAUUUUUCAAGUAAUCUUCCAUCCCAUUUAAGAAUAUUUAAAUGUACAAUUUAUAUUCCAAUUACAUCACUGCAAUGUACUAAAAUGAACCCCUCCCCCCUCCCCCCAAAAAAAAGAAUAAAAGGGAGGAUGAAAUGCUUUAUAUUCCAAUUACAAAUCACCUUCUGCAAUUAAUCACUUUAAGAAAAAUCUCAAACACUUCCCCUCCUCUUUUGCUUCAAAAGGGAGGAUGAAAUGCUUUAGUCUUCUCAUAAAAUUCAAAUGUUAAUUGCUUUCACCUAUUAAGCCAAGUGCCCCCAAUCUUGUUUAUACUUCUUGAACACCAAAUUCCACAGGACUAGUACUCGAUUAGUUAUAAACCCUUGUCAAGAUUCCAGUUUCUGAAUGCAACUUACUUCUGGAAAACCGAAUUCCACAUGACUGGGAACUCAAUUAGUUAUACACCCUCGUCAAGAUUCAAGCCGAUUGCAGAUGUCCUGCCAUAGAAUGGGAAACAGUGAAGAAAACAAAGAAAGGAUUCAUUUACUUUUCAUACCUCUCAUUGGUUGGGACAAAAAGUAAUAUUAGUCCAUCAUUAUACUAGUCCAAUACCUCAUCGAGACAAGAAAACGCGUUAUAUCAUUUCUUGGGUCAUCCACGUGUUUUUACUUUUCCUUUUUUUUUUAUGCUUUUGCUUUUGGGUACAUAUACAUCAUGAUUUUUAGAUUUUUGGCAAAAAAAAAAACAUUUUUGAAUAGUCAUUACAUUUUAUAUUGAAAUAUGCUCAUAUAGAGACAGAAAUGUCCAUUAUAUAUAAACUUAUAAAAUCACACAAGUCAAUAUGCACAAUUAAUAAUUCUCUAUUCUCAAUAAGUUCUAAACUGUUGAUUUAACUUUUUUAUUUAGACAAAAAAAGUCGAUCGGGGCGAUUAUUAAGUAUAUCUAGUAGUUGAAUCCAAAAAUCUACUUGGACACACGAGAAUUCCACUUGAUUUUAUUUAACGUGUCAAGUGGACUCCACUUAACAUGUAAAUAUGCAAAUGGAAUCCUUAUAUAUCCACAAGAAGCUUCACUGUUGAUCUUGGACUAACUACUAGUAGUUGUUUCGAGAACCGACAUACAAUUUCUAGUUUAGUUUAGUUUUUGGAGUAUAAUUAACAUUUCUUUAAGAAUAAUGUAGCACAGAGUAACACCAUACAAGAAAUAGUAGUAUUUUCUCGUGAAUAUGAUGUAUUUAGUGGAGUUCUUAUUGGAGUUUAGUAUAGAUUUUUGGGCUUUGCUUUUGUUUGGACAAAUGACUUGGGAUUUUCCCUUCGAUUUUGAUCUAAAAAUUGACGACUCACCUAAAUAAGAACUUAGGUAGGUAGAGACUAUCGGCAUGGACUUUGGAUCCCCAACACUUUCGCCAUCGAAUGGAUUCUACUACUACUACUACUUUUUUUUUCCUUUUUAAAUUCAUAUGACGGGGGCCCACAAAGCUUCACAGAAAACACACUGCCCCACACGGAUUUAAGACUCGAUUUUCCUGGAGUCAGUUGCUUUGCUCAUUGCCCUCUGUACUACUAUGAGAUUGCGGGUGGGGUCCCCAAUCCCCAUAUGGUGACCGGUAAUUUGCAAUUUUCCAAUGUUUUUAAACUCGGACCGGUCAGUGAACCGGAGAGGUUGCCGGUUCGCGGUCCGACUGAUUCGACCGGUCCAACCGGCCGGUUCACAGGUUCACUGAUUUUUUUUUUUUUUUUAAGUGUUAAGUACUAAACAGGUUUAAUUCUACACUUGAACUUUACCAACAUAACUUAAUUUAAGUUAUGAUAAUAAUAAAUUUCCUAAAAGUUAUACAUAAAACAUGGAAUGAUAAAUAUAAUUAAAAUAUCAUAAUUCACCACAAGUUUUCAUAAAUUCAUUAUAAACAUAAAUAGAUACAAUCCAAAUGUUCACCAAUUAUCACAAAUAAAAACACAAAAAAUAAAUAAAUUAAAUAUUGAAAUUCUUUUACAACCCUUAAAAAAAUCCAUAAAAGAGUUCAAGUUAAGACAAAUAAUUUGAAUAGCAAACUUUUAUGAGUGGCAUGAUAAGCAACCACAGCACCUUCACAAUUUAAUCAACUUAAGCUGAAAAAGUUAAAAUUUUAUUAUAAAAAUAUAAAUCUAAUUGCUCAAAUUAAAAAAAACUAAAAAUUUUUGAAAAACAAAUAUACAGUUAAACACAUAAAAAAUUAAUUGCUACUAAACAUUACUAAUUAACAUGUUAUAUUAAAUUCAAUGAUCCUAUACCAUUAAUUAUUUUAAAUUCAAUUAUCAGUAGCUUCGAUUAUGUGCUAACUAUCAUAUUUUUGACCAGCCCAAUGUUAUUAUUUAUAAUUCUUACCCAAUUCCUACAUGGAUGUGCACUACUUUUGCAAAAAUUUCAUCAUUAAUUAAUCAAAUAAAAAUAAAACAAAAAAUGAGGGAAACAUAUGAAAAUUGAGGGGAAAAAGAAGAAAAUGCAAAAAAAUCAACUAAAGAUAAUAAUAUAGAAAAAAAAACCUUGAAAAGAAAAAAAUUAAACUUACCAAGAUGUUGGAAAACAAGAAAAGUCGAAUUUUCAACUUGUUUACAAUCUGCUAAAGAUAAUAACCUGAUAAUAAUGGUGAAGACUUGAGAAAAUCUUGUUGUGGAUAUUUGGGUUAAAAAUGGUUAAGAAGAAAAAAUUGAAAAAAAAAAUAAGAGAAGAACUUGAUGUUUUAAUAUAUUUUUUAGUCAAGUAGAAUUCUCAACAAACUUAACUACAGUCUAGCGGUAAGAUUGUCAUAUGCAAACUUGGAGACUCGAAUUAUGGCUACACCAUUCUUGAUAUUUUGUUGAAAAAUUUAAAAAACCGCCGAUUCACGGUUCUUAACGGUUCACACGGUUCAUCCGGUUCGUCCGAGUUUCAACGGUUCUCCAUGAACUUCCGGCUUUAGCAUUAGACCGGACCGGUGACAUGGCCGGUUCGCGGUCCAACUGGUCGAACCGGCCGGUCCGGUCCGUGUGAGAACCCUGAAAAUAGAUAUAUAAGCCAGUGCAUAUUUCAUUUGCAUUUUUUUUAUUCCUUAAUAAUUUCUAACAUUACCUUUACUUGUUCGCAAUUAAGUACGUAAAAAUAGAUUUAUGAAAAAAAUAAUAUAAUUUUCCUAAGUUAUGAAAUUUCUUGGUUUUGCUAGACUAAAUUAAAAAUCUUUAGUGUUAGAUUAAUUUUUCGCCUUAACAUAAAAUGUUAGAAUACUUAAUUCCUUUAUGCUAAAGUAAUGAUAAUGGAAUCGAUAGAUUUACUAUCUUUAAAUAAAUUAUUUAAGUUCCUAUGAUUAAUUCCAAUUAGUUGCUAAUGUUAAAUGUUAAUAGGAAUUUCCGCGUUAAGAUAAAAAUCAAUGAAUUUUAGAUAAAUAUGAUAUUCCUAUACUAAACAUACUUAAGGCAUGAAAAUUCGAUAAAUAUAUCAUUAUCUUUCUUUAUUUUUAUAAUAAGUGCGUAAAAAUAAUUUUAUGGGCAAAUUGUCGCACUUGUAUGAAAUUAUUAUUUCACUUUACUUUAUAUUACUAAAUCGAUAAAUUUUGUGUAGGAUAACUUUAAUUCUUGAGAAUAAAUAAUUGGAGAUGCGGAUAAUUAAGUUAAUCGCUAAAUAAUGUUAGGAACCUUAAUAUUUAAGUUUAAUCGAUAUUUAUUCGAUAAAAAUGGUUAAGUAUAUUGGGGGGUUAUUAGGCGUUCAAAUCACUCUUGAGGAUAAAUCUUAGAAAUUAAGUUGAGAUUAGAAAACAAAGUGAAAAGACUAAAAGACCCUUACAAUUUCAUACGAAACCAAACGACCCCUAUGACAAAAUUCCCAUCACCGCAACUUCGACCAAUUACAUUUUAACCAAUUCGAUACGCAAACCUUUCGUAAACCGCGGCACCACAAAACCACUUGAUCAAAUUCACACUACAUCUCACAACCAUUUCAGCCGACUCUUUCUCUGCACAAGCCAAAUCCGCAAUCCAUUGCACUCCAAAUACCACGAUACCAACCACUCUACUCUUUCAUUUUUGAUUCACAACAAAACCUCAUUUCUUCCCUGCCUUGUCCGAGAGCAUCCGAGAGAGUGAGAGAGCUGCUGGAAAUUUUUGGUCCUGCCGUGAGUAGAGCAAAGCCAGGAAGGAGAAUCUGCAGGAAGCUACACCAUCUCACCUUCAUCCGCAACCCAAUUCCAGCCGCAACUCAAACCAGGACCACGUCUGAACUUGGCCGAGAGUGAGGGAAGACAUUUCUGGAAAAUUCGUGUGAGGGUUUAGCUAUUAGCUGAGGUAAUUUCUGAACUAAAUAAGUUAAUUGCUAGUGAAUGAAGCCAUAUCAGAGGUUGUAUGGGUUGAUUGUGUAGUUGGAUGAUGAAAUCAAGAGUUGAGAAAAAAAUUCUGUUUUGGCUUGAAAUUUUUGCCGAGAGGUUUCUUGAUUAAUGUAGCCUGAUUUGGUUUAAUGUUGUUAUUUAAGCUUAUAACCAUAACUAGUUACUUAAUCACAAGUUAAUUAGGUUCUGCUUGCGGCUAAUUAGUUAGUUAAAAAAAAAAAAUGAAAUCAAAGAGCAAUCUGCCAAGCAUGUUCAUCCGAGUCAGGCAGGAAAAUUUUUGAAAAUUUUGAUGUUCAUGGUUGUUAUGUGAACUUGAUUUCCAAACUGGAAAUGUUAAUCAGUGGUUAAGCAUAUGCAUAUUGAAUUUGAGCUCCUAACACCUUGACUUAACCAAGGAAAAUCUGGUUUUAAAAAUCAUUUUUAUUUGCUGGAAAAUUUUAGCAAAAGCCGUGAGGUUUAAAUCUGGAAAUUUUGGGGGUUUGUAACCAUGACUUAAACUCAACUCUUGAUCUGGAAAUGUCUAUUGUCUAGUUAAGUAUUUGUAAUUAGGAGUUGAGAAUUUAAAAGCAUGUUUUAAACCAGAAAAUGAGACGAAAACAGAAAAUUUCUUCAUGCACGAUUCACGUAGCUUGUUGAACAGAAUUCUGAAAUUUUUGGAGCGUUUGAACCUGCUAUUCGAAUUCGACUUUCAACCAAAAAUAUUAAUUGGUUAGCCAAAGGUUCACAUGAUGAAGUUGAGAAUCUAAAACCAUGUUUAGCCGAGGAAAAAAUUUGAUUUAUAAACACCUCAAUGCUGGGGAAAAAAAAAUUUCUGGAAUAGCCGAGAGGCUUGAUCAGAAAAUUUCAGUUGUUUUCUUUUGAACUUUAAAUUAUUUCUGGAUUUUUCCUUGGAAUUUUAAUGGUUGAGAAAUGCAGAGAAGUUGUAAGCCUUAAGUUGUGUAAGUCGGUUAGCAAUGAAAAUAUUUGAGAUAUAUGGAAUAGUGGAACCAGAAAAUGUGAGUUAUACAUGUGGAAAUUUUUGUGUGAUAGCCAAAGGGUAAGUUGGAGCCUUAACUGGAUUUUUUUUUUAUUUGUUCCUUGAAACUUGAUGGAUGGAAACGCCUGGAAAAUAUUGUUUUGGAGUUCUACAAGAAGUGUAUGGAUAGGUUAAAUAAAAACAUGUUGGUGUUAAAAGAGAAAAAGGAGUUUUCACAAGUGAAAAACUGAAAUUCCAGAUUUUUGGAUAUCUCUGACCAGUCUCAACGAAAUGGUUAUAUCUUGGUGUGGAAAAAUCCGUUUAAGGCGCCGUCAGUGGCGUUCGAAACUAGAAACAUAGGUCUUUGUCCUGUAAAAAUUUCAUAUUUUUCCUCCAUGUGUACUGUUGCCGGUAAACCCUCAAAGUGGACUGUUUGGACGGAUGUCCUGUUUCUUCGUGAAACUGAAAUUUGGUUUGGAUGGAUAUUUUAGCUUACUUGUGGUAUAAAUUCUUGAUUUAAAUUGUGGAUUGGAAGUAAUUGAUGUUGUCAAGGGCUAAUGAUUGAUGAAGCCUUGGCCAUUUGAAUGACUUUAUAAUUACUACUGGAAGACGAAAGAAAAUUUCUGGAAAGUCUUGGAAGCUUUACUUUUAUUUUUAAUUGCUUAUGAUGGGAUUUCUGAAACCAAGUGCUAAUGAUUGAUGAAGCCUUGGUUGAUUUAUUGAAAAUUUAUUGAAGGUGGGCUCUAUGAAUUCCCACCCUGAAUGGAUAACUGAAUUGCUGAAAUUGUUUAGACAUCUGCGCUACUAUUUUGUAAAACUGUGAGUUGAUAUAAAUUGUUGAAGCACAGGGCUAUGAAUUAACGAGCCCUAGUGUUAUUACGGUUUAAGUUCUAAUUGUGCAAUAUUGAGAAAAUGUGAUUUUUGGAUUGGAAUCGAAAAUGUGAGAAGUUGUACCAACCUUGUGACUCCAAGUAAACGCUUGACUAAGUAAUUGAAAAACAUUUUGCUCUAAGUCUUGAACGGUACAAUUUUAGCAUAGUACGACUAAACAUAGUGUCUAAUAUUAUAUAUAUAUUUUUUUGACUUAAAAACUUGGGCAACAUGACUUUUAACCCUUAAGUUAGACUAGCCUUAUUUAUUUGGGAAAAAUAACUCUCCAAGACUUAAAACCUUAGUUUGUUUCAAUUUCCUUCCUUCUUUAUAAAUCGUUUAAGGCUAGUUGUAACUAAGGAAAAGUUUUAAAGGGUGAGUCUUGAUCACCUUAGCUAUAUGUAUAGAAACUCGCUCGGCAAGAGAGACAUUAUUUUCUUUUAGCAAAACAGCUUUAGCAACGUUUGUAUAAGAAACCUUAUCUUGAAGCCUUAGCAAUAAAUUUUGCAAGCACCACCACUCAAAAGAACUUUUUCUCAAGGUAUACUCUUAGCCUCGAUAUUAAAUAGCUUGCCGACUUAUUUUAAGAAAAUAAUAAUAGUAUUUUCUUUAAGAAAAGUAUUCCAAGGAAAAACUAAAGGAAACAAUUCUUCUACUUUCGUCAAGAUUCAACCUAUGGAGAUUCUUGAUUUUUCUAAGGGAAAGUGAACUAGUAGUAUAUUAGAUAUACCUCUAUAUCUAUAAGCUUAAAGACUGAGUAGAAACUUAUAGUUUCAAAAUUUGGUUUUUAGGAUACUGCGAGGACGCGGAAUUCGAUUCCCAACUUGAUAUCUAAACUUCACUCUGGGUGAGUGUCCCUGCUUGUUCUAUGCUUAACCGUUUAAAGUGCUUUCUUGACUUGAUAUGUGAUAAUUUGAAAAAUUGGUUUCUGAUCCAUCGAAGUGAGCUGUGUGUACUUUAUCGCACUAGCCGUUCGAGUGGUGACUUGUGCAAAAACAUUUUUCUUCUGAAUCCAUAAAUCUAAAAUGUAGUUGCGUCGUUGGGUGAAUCCCUCGACUUCUGUAUCCAACUAUCAUAAAUCUAAAAUGUAGUUGCGUCGUUGGGUGAAUCUCUCGACUUCUGUAUCCAACUACCAUAAAUCUAAAAUGUAGUUGCGUCGUUGGGUAAAUCUCUCGGCUUCUGUAUCCAACUACCAUGACGGGUAUAUCUCGAGUAUACUACGUCCUUAGUCGGUGAGCGGGCCCGGGACAGGGGUAUGAAAGGUGACGGGUUAGGAUCAAAAUGAGUGAAUGUACAUGGUCUCUAAGUAGUGAGAGUUGACGGAGGGUCAACUACGAUGAAUGGUGUUCAAGCGAGGAAAAUGGCUCCUGAGAGCCCCUGUAUCCUACCUUGUGCUGUUAUACGCUUUCCUAACUGUUUAAAUUUGCUGAGUUAUUAUCCGCUGUUUGUUAUUACGUGAUUGCAUGUUUUGGGGCACCACUGAGCUUUAGCUCACCCCACGUUUAUUGUUUUCCUUAACAGGUUCUGGAAACUGAAAGCUGGACACUUACUUAUGUUUUUCUUUUGGAUUGUAUUUGAAUAUUAUGACUUAUUCUGUGGGCUGUAAUGUGUUAUCUGGGAUAAUGUAUUUUUCCUUUUUGGAUUGCCACUUGAAGCUGGAAAAUGUGUAAACCCUAAUUCGAUUACUUGGUUUGUAAGUUUGUAAUAGAGAUUUAUGGAUUUUAUCUAUCCGGUUUGUUACGACUUAUUUCUUUGAUACGUAGCAUGUAGGACGUUUAAGGGCCUCGACUGGUUAUUUUUAUCACUGCUAUCUCUGAAGUUAAUGUGGCUUUAAGGAUGAUCUUAUUCGGGGAAAAUUGUUUUGUAAUAUAUUAGGUUAUUCUUCGAAAGGUUCGGGUUAGAUUGCUCGCAUGAGUCUUGGCGAGAGUUGGGCAGACGGCCCGCCAACCCUUUGGUUCGCCUCAGGGGGAAGUGGGGUCGCCACAGUCCGGUUCUGAAAACACUGCAAUUUUCAACUCUCACAGUUUUGCCCUGCUGCGUCCGGCGCACCUGCCCUUCCAACGGUUUGAAUGGGUCGCGUCAUUUCGUCUUUGAUCUCAGCCGUCUCUUUCAAAAAUUAUAUGUGUUUUUUUUUUCAAAAAAAAUAUUUUUCAAUUAAACAAUUUUUUUAAGUGUUUUUUUUCAGACUUUUAAAGUUAGUUAAUUAAAACCUUCAAAUCUUACGAGGGAGGGAGAAAAGGAAUAGGAAAGGCUUGACGGUCAGAACCUAGGAAGGAAAAGUUUUUGUUCUUAGCUCCGCAUAGUUGAUGCUAUGUUACUAAAACAUGAAAGAAUAUGAAUUGAUAGUUUUGGUAGAAAAAUUUUAAAAUAUUUUUUUAAUACAUUUUUCAAACGUCAUUGUAUUUCACAUAUAUUACAUUAUUACAUUAUAAUUUUCUACAAAAAAAAAUAAACUUAAAAAGAUGGCAAUCCAAAUGAGACUGAAAUCAAUUUUUAUGUGUAUGACUUCUUAAAACGAAAUUCCUAAAGUAUAUAUAUAUAUAGGCUAAGAGUUUAUGUCUGAUAAAAGAGGGUGCAAUUCGACAAUCUUUCAGAUUUUUUUAUAGCCGUCCAAUUGAAAAUUUGAAACUGAGUUAUCUAUAUAAGAUAAACAUAAAAGAAAAGAUUUAAGCACUAUUUAAAUUGUAAACUGAACCAGAGUCAAUAGAUUAAGACCCGUUAAGAAUUUGGUGUGGUCUGCCUUUUGGUGGACAGUUUUACUGCCAUUAAUCCAUCACUUGUUUAUCCCUCUUUACAUUUCAGUUUCUGCGUGAAACUUGUAAUUAACCUUCUAAUACCAAAUCAAUAUGUGUGUAGACUGUACACAUUGAAUAUUAUUUGAGAUAAUUUUUAUUAAAAAAUACUAUAAUAUAUUUUUUAUAUAAUGUAUGUAAUAUAAAAAUAAUUAAAAAUAUAUGUAUCAUACGAGCAAAUAAAUUUACGUAAAUAAUUUAUUAUCCAGACACAGUAGUCUUUACCGUACGCCUGGAAAUUGGAAUGGGAGGGGACGAAAAGAAAAAGCUUUGACACAGUGACAUGCAAUGGCUCCUCACAUCUUUUCUUCUGUGGAUGAACGAAAAAAUCCAUUUGCGUUUCGAUUGACAAGGUACCAGCUAUCCGACAUAGACGGGUUAUUCUUGCUUCGAACACAAGCAUUUCCAUAACUAUUGAUGAUGUCUCUUCGGGGACAUCCGAUAACUAUUUGAUGGUGGGGUUUUGAUGGUUUCUCUGCCUAAUUUUCUAGAUACAAAAUGAUACGAAAGUGAUUCUUGUAACGGGUGUUAAUUUGGCUCGGCACUCGUAAGCAUAUUUAAAUUACACUUAAUUUAUCAUGUAAUUUCACACAUUCACAUUUAUUAUUACUGUAUUUAGACCAUUUUUUUUCACAUUAAUUUUAAUUUUGUAAAAAUAUAACAUCUGAAAUCUCUCUUAACGAGUGCUCCUACGUUCAUAUAAAAUAAUAAUUAAUGUCUUUUGGUAUGAUAGUUUUGUCACAAGUACCUAAUAUUGCAUUUCAAGAUUCUUAAAAAGGAUCUACAUGUUUGAUGUUACUCUUCAUCCUAGUUAAGAUUGAGGUCCUGAAACUUUUUAAUCAACCAAGAUUCAAGGUUCUACAAAAUAGUGGUGGAAAAAAAUGGCAUUGCAUUUGUAUAAUCUUCCGUGUUCUGGGUGCUCCAAUGAUCCUUUCCAUUAGCAACUAAUUUUUUUUUUUUGAAAAAAGAUUACAAUUCAAACAAACCCAAUUGUUUGACAAAAUUUCUCAACUGCUUUGUAAUUCCAAGAAUUCUCAAGACCAACAUAGAGUUUAAAGGCGAGAAUCACAACUCUGACAGUAAAGGAUUAUAUUAAUUAGUGCGUUUGGAUUGUUGAAUUAUCUCAAAUAAUAUUUCACUUCCAUCAUAAACAUAUUUUUUCAAUAUACUUUUUUUUAAUAUUUUCAACUGCCUUUUUAUCUCAUAUACAUCACAUCACAAAAGUGUUACGGUAAUUAUUCCAAAUAAUACUCUAUCCAAACACUUAAACUCGGACCGGAGAGUGAAUCGAAAAAUUCAUCCGAUUCACGGUUCGACCGGUUCAAUUCCAGUUCAAAGGCUUAACAAAUUUUUAUUCAUUUUAGUAUUAAAAAUAUUGAAUAAAACUAAAAUAUUUAUCUUGGAGACUAAAGAUUUAAUAAGUACCGGUUGAACCUCUCAAUUUUUAUCAGUUUUACUAGUUCAAUCGACUCUUGACCGAGUUUGACUGAUUCAAUUGAUUUUUUAGAUUAUUAAUUGAAUUGGAUUGGAGGCAUAGACAGUUCGUGAUUCGAUCAAUCGGUCUGGUCUGAUUUUCGAAACACUGCUGCAAUAAAGAAACUAAAUGCAGCCUAAGGGCUUAUCGAAUGACAAGUAAAACAUCUGACCGAGUUAACCGUACAUCAAAGAGUACUGAAGAAAAAAAAAAAGAUUUCAUCCCAAUUUGCACGUUAUACAUGCACUUAAGAUUAUUAAGAAAACACUGAGGAUUACAACUAUCAAAGCAAGCUAGGUUGAGUUGCUAACUUUACCAAGAACAUAAAGCAUGCCGUGAACAUUAUUAAUAUAUAGUUGCAAAAUCUUUUAUCUUGAAAUUACUGAUGCACAUGCUGUAUUAAAUAGCCAAAUUGUUCAGAUAGACCAAUAAUUCACAAUGAGCAGAAUAACAGGUCGUCAACCUAGGAAGUAGUAAACUAAAAGUCGUUUUUAAAUAAUUAACUCAAUACCAUGAGUUAAUUGGACACACACACACUAUAUCUUAAAUAAGUAAAUAAUUAGUGUCGAGGGAGAGGAUAAUUAGUAGGUAGAGAGAGUGAAUAACUUUUUCUACAAGAGUGAGUAUGGAAGAACAUUCCAAUCAUAGAGAAAUGCUUUUUAAUUUUCCAUGAAAGAAGACUUCACCCCUCGAAUGGGUCUUUUCUGUGCCAAAUUUUGGUGGGAAUAUUUGGUGUUUCCCAGCAACCUUUUCUGACAAUCGCGUACAUACUUAUGUUGACUGAAAGGUGAAAAAAAGGUUUUAAAAAAUGGUUUUGAAAAUGAAGUGAGGAGAAAAAGAUAGAACUUGAAAAGGGCAGGCUGCAUUUUGAAGGGUUUGUAUGCUAUUCACUUCCACCUUCAACUUUAUGUUGGGAAAAGCACAUGGAGGCAUCAGUACACGAGUCAAAUAUAGCCAUUCGGUGAUGUUACACAUUAGACUAUCAUUACAAAUCAAUUUCCCUUGUAUUGAGUUGAUGUGUAGAAUGUUUCCCUUUGUAGCCAAAUUAGAGAUUUUUCGGUUUGAGUUACAAAUUAGUAGUGAUUCAUAUAUUGAAGAAGUAUUAACGCGCUUGUGGUGUUAAAAAUCAUCUCAAAAUGACUAUAAGAUUUGACAAAGCAAUUCUCGAAUUAUUUUGGGGAUAUAAUACUCAUUUCUUCAAUCACAUAUAUAUAUAUAUAUAUAUAUAUAUAAUUGACGAGUAUAUUUAACGAGUGCACAUCAGACACUUGUUACGAUGUAUUCUAGUGUAAAAUUUUUAAGCGCUUGGCAAGUGUCAUUUCCGUUCAACUGGGAAAUGGGAAUCAUAGCAUGCAAAAGGUACCAAACAAGUGUAGCAGAUUUUUUUUUUUUUUUUCGCAACGGUAGAUGUCCUAUAACCUAAUCUAACCUAAUUUAGGGGGAAGGGAUAAAGGGAGAUGGUCAACUAAAACCAAUCACAUAUUAUGGCAAAUUUGAGGGAGGCAGGGGUUAAACCCCUGAUUCCAGCAUCACUAAAGAGGGUGAUAACCACUGGACCAAAUUGACAGUGGCAAACAAGUGUAGCAGAUUGCUUAUGUUAAACUUGGAACUCUCAGUCAGUACUGUUGCAGAAAUUCUAAAGCACAGUCGAGUCCAAGACACAACAUGACGGUAUAACCACCUCCACAUAAUUAAUUAAUCAAAGCAGUUUAAUUGACGGGACAUUUUUUUAAGCCAAAAACAAAAAAAAGUUAGCUCGAAUUUCUAGGCAAAAAGCAAAAGAUACCCACCUAAUUCCUCACUUAACUUUUUAAGAACGAAUUUUAUACAUUUUCUUUCUGGUAGAAAAGGAUGUGUCUGUGUACCUCAUAUUGGCGGUAUAAUACUCGUCUGGUCUACAAAGUCUAUAAUGAUAUUCUGAGGAGGACCGAGCAGACUGCUCAUCUCAUCUUCAUAUAAUUGCAUUGUACUAUUCUAAAACAAUUGCAAAAUUUUUCUCCCUUGUUUUUUUGUCGGCAAUAAGAAUAAAAUUGGAAAGUAUAAUGCACUGCAGUACCCAAUCAAUGCUCUUCUUUUAUCCAAGAAAAUGAAGAAGAAAGAACAGUCAAAGGUGGUUGUUUGUCUGUUUGUUUGGAUGGAGUAUUAUUUGAAAUAAUUACUGUAACACCUUUUGUAAUAUGACGUAUGUUAGAUAAAAAAGUAUGGUUGAAAAUAUAAAAAUAUGAGUUGAAAAAUAUAUUUAUGAUACAAGCGGAAUAUUAUUUAGGAUUUACCGUCUGGUAAAAACGACAGCAGUGCAGUGGACUAGACAUUUUCUACUGACUCGUAGAAGUUAAAUUUGGAAUUUUGGUAGUCAAGUGGAAUAAUACUAGUAAGGUAAUAGAUAUGUAUGUAGAACCAAGUAAAACUUGGAUCCAUUCAAAUCACUAGAAUGUUUGUUAGAGCAGCAUCAUUUGCUGUUGUGGAUCAAUCGAUAAUUAUAUAUGCUGUUGUGGGUUCCGCUUCAGCUAAUGUCAAGAUUAACUCUCUUUUUAAGUGCAAUUUAAGUAACAAAGAAGUUAAAAGAACGAGAGAGGGAGUCAGAUAGAAAUUGGAGUGACAAAGAGGUAGAAAGUGUUCCAUAGCCCUCAAGGAAUGCUCCAACCCUAGUAAUGCAUAUCCACUUCAGUUAUCUUUCUUCCGCGAGCAAUUGAUUACUAAUCAAUUUCCUUGAUCUUUCUCGAUUUGUCAUAACCGAAAAAGAUGUGUGCUCAGCUCAUUUGAGGGGAAAUUAGCAUACAACUAUCAAAGACAUAAACUAAUAACAAUUCUAGUUUCAUCUUUUGAGUUAAUAAAUGACUAGAAUGGCAAGUAUAAAGACAUGGGAAAGGAACAAAACCAACUACCAUCAGCCAACCAAAAAUGCAUUAAACUUUGCAGAAACCUAGCCAAAUGAAUUUAAAUGUCGUAUGCCAAAGUAUCCCUUUUAUUUUCUUUUACGUGUAGAGCAUAAACAUAUAUAGUUUUGUCUAUCUUAAGCAGUCGAGAUAUUUCUAAUUCGACUCUCAAGUUCUUAAAAUUUUUUGUUUAAAAUAUGCAUAUACAGACACAGUCGGGAUAGGAGGAUAGAAUUGUCGUGUGAUUGGUGCAAGACGAUCAAGAGGCUGUCUUUACCCCCGCAUUUGGCGCUGAUGUGUAAUUCUCAGUUCUCCCGUAGAUGGACGGAUAGAUACUCUACUCCCACUAGUACGUACUAUAUCUAUAUGUGCUGCGUCGAGCCAUCUGACUGACUGACUUGUUGAGUGUACAAAACAAAUACCACUAAAAAACCCAGUCAGAUCAAAAUAUCAAAUGUGUUUCUUGGCCUUUGGGUCUCCUCCAACCCCGUAGGCUGCUCUUGGCCUUUUCUACAUUUUUUCUCCCACUCCACAGUCUAUACACCCACUCUUUUGGAGGGCGGGGGAGGAAAAUGUAACACGAACAAAUGUGCAAGUAGCAUGCAAUUGACUACAGUACAACAAACAAGUCCUUAUAAAAUGACCACAAUUAUCACUCCUAUUAUUAAUUACACGUUCCUCUUUUAGGCCUCCUCCACCCGACUCCCCUUGUCUUUCUCCCUUCCAAGGCUUCGACUUUAUCCAUCAUCAAUUUAACUUGCUACAACUGCAGCAGCACUAUGGAAAGCCAGAGGGGUCCUCUUCUGAAUUGGCCUUACUUCUACCAAGGAAAGGUUAGGCAUUAUGUAUAUCUUCAAUCCAUUCAUUUGAUCUGAUGAGAAUUGUAAUGUGUACUAAAGAUGUUUGUUUGGCUGAAACAGGGCAUGGAUGAACUGAGGCAAUCACUUCUGCUGACUACUAUGGAGCUGGAGAACACGAGGCUAAAAGCACAAGAGGAGCUCAAAAUGAGAGAUGAUCAGCUAUUUCAGCUCAAAGAUUUGCUCUCAGCAGAACCAUCAAAGAAAGGGAUGAAGCACAAGAACAAUGCCAAAGACUCGUGCUUGAUAAGCUACUGCUCCAGCAGCAGCAGCUGAUGCUUCACGCCAGAAUCAGCAAUCAGCACCCCUCUCUGGAAUUUCAAGCAUCGAAGAUGAGCCCAGAAGAGGAGGAGGAGGAAUGGACUCCAACAACGGCUUUUCUUCCUCCGACUGCGAAGAAAGCAUUGUUUCAUCGCCAAUUAUUGAGCAAAAUCCGCCGCAAGAAUUGACUUAUCAGCUUCAAGUUCAACCACAACAUCCCACAGCAGAAUUAGACCCAACAUUGCCUAUUUUGACAGACAGGCCAUUGCCUGAAAAAGGGCAGUUCUUGCAAGCUGUUAUGAAAGCUGGGCCGUUGCUUCAGACACUUCUUUUAGCUGGCCCUCUCCCACAGUGGCGCCACCCCCCACCACCACUCGACUCCUACCAGAUUCCACCGCCACCUACACCUCCAACACUAUCGGGUCACUCCCUAAAUCAAGAUUCUUUACUCACCAUUGCUGCCUACAAUAGUAACAUUAACAACUGUGGCAGAAUGAACAGGAAAAGGGGUUACUUUGAGGGCUCUGAUUCUUCAACUGAAGCCAAGUAUCAAAGGCUCGUUCUUCAAUGACUAGUAGUGCCGUUAAUCUACUUCCACCCCAUAAAGCAGAGUGAUACAAGUAGUUCUUUUCUUAGAGGAGGCUUGGAGUACGAUUUUGGAACCUGGGGUCAACUGAUCAUAUACUAGCAUUCUGUACAUAGUUCAGAAAUUCUUGAGUUAAGAGGCUGAAAAGAUCAGAGUUAAUCAGCUGUAGGAGAAGACUAGGGAGACAGGGAUGUUUGUUGUGGUCCUGUUUUUUUACUUUUCAGCUUGUUUCUGCCUCAGUAUUGGUUGGUUUGUCUGCUUCACCAGUGUCAAAAUUCCCUCUACCUUGUGCAAAGGGGAUUUGAUUUUCCAAUAUAAUUACAAGGGGAUAUUUUGCAGAUUCGACGUGCAAUUCAAAUAUUGUUGAGUUUGGUUAAGUAUGCAAGUAAUAAUGCAACAAUUUUGUCGCUCAUAAUUUAGUCAUGAUGCAGAUAUAUGAUGAAUAAGAAAUGCAUGCUUGUGAUUUGCUCAAGCGAAAGGGGCUAUCAGCAGAAUUAACUUGACUAGCAUGGUCGUACAAACGUUCACUCAACCUGCAAUGUCUGAUGUUCCACCAGCUAUAGUUUCUUGACAAUGUGUCAUGCAGUGGGAGGUGGGAAAAUAGAGUGGGGAAAGAGGGGUUGUGGGGGUUUGGAGGAACAUCAAAAUGUUUAUGUAAACGGAACAUCAAAAUGUUUUUUUUUUUUUUUAAAAAAAAAGAAGAUCAUGAAAAAUGGUAUUUUAGAACGUGGAUUGGUUACAUUGGAGGAUAGCAGAAGGCCAUAGCCAAGAGCCGCUAGGUCCAGGAGAGCCUUGUUGUCGGGUCGAGUGGUUCCCACAAAUCAGAAUCAGGAUCUACUACUUGUGUGUGAUUUAUUAUUUUAAGUGGAUUUGAUGCAUCUCAAAUCAUUUUUAGGUACAUUUUGAUCCAAAGUUUUCUUUAAUACUGCUGCUACUGCUUUCCCCAUUUCUCCAUCCACCCCCACUCCCCUCAUAUUUGGUUAGCUAAUUCCAAAAAGUUCAGUAAUUUUCUUGUGCCGGUCAAUUACAGAAGUCCAAAGCAAAGGCAAAUACAAGUGUGAGUGCGUGCUGCAGUUUCUUUCUUAUGUUCACAGGACAUCCAAUUGUUAAUAGACUAAUAGUAUGGACGCAGGGAAUAAUCCAACCUCGUCCUUUGGGCUGCUUCUAAGUGUUGCCAUUUCAGAAUAUAGACUUCGGAAGUUUUCACUGCCGUUUCCUAUGGUCCGAACACAAGCUACAAAGGCCAAUUUUGCAUUUUUCAUUUCUCUUCCUUGUCACUAUCCUUCUAAAAACAACCAAUUUCCAGCUCAUGGGAGUGCGGAGCAAGGCAAAGAAAGAGCCUCUACUCAGAAGAAAAAUGAAGAGUCGAGUCGAGUCAAGAGUCUAAGGUCCGAUAUUUUUAGUAGAACCAUAGAAGAUCAGCUAUCAGACAUUUUUAGCAGUGACUUGCUACAUUUGAUCAUGCGCAAGUGUGAAAGAGGAUAACGGUUUAGGCAUCUUGCAAAUGUUCUCGACUCCUGGGGUAGACACUUUAGACCAGAAACUCUCUUCUCUUCGUUGCAAAAAUUAACGGCAGAGUUUCAAAAAAUCCAAUCCGCCCUGGUGGCAGAAGUUUCUGCUACCUGAUGAUGACUAGAAAGAGUCAGAUGGAAGUACUAACGCGAUUGCGGUUCUUUGACUUCAAAAGUCUUUUAACGAACUCUAGCAGCCUCCAAAGGGAACGCUCUCAAGCCUGAGACCCAUCCUUUUCAAUCCCAUACCUAACCUACCCCCAUCCAUGCCUAAUGCGCGUUUAACCAACAUCAUUGCCAGGUUUACUAACGUUUCCAAAUCCCACAGCAGGCACAGCAAGUAAUCAUUGGUCCCAAGAACCCAAGUCUGGUGCCCCAAAGAAAAUUUGAGAAUUGAUAGAGAAAGACAAUAUCGUGCUAAUCACCCCAGACGUAGAUAUGAAACUGUGAAGAGGCAUUCCAGUUGUAUCACAACUGGUAAACUUGAAAUCCAAAACCCAACUGCGUUUUCCCGUGGAAACGCGAUGUCUUCUUCCUCUUGACAACAUAUGCACAAGCAGGUCAAGUAAAUACUCGGUCUCCAGCUGUAACAUGUGCCAUUUUCUAGAACACAUUCAGACCAAGUAAUAACCUGAGGGAUAAUGCUCCCACCGUAUAAGCAACAGUCUUGGAAGUCCGUCUUUCUUUUUCUUUUUUUCCGCCUUCUUUCCUUUGCCCAGAUAUAGAUCAAAUUAUACAUGUAACAGCUGGAAACUGCUAAAGCCAGAUUUUAAAAUGAAUCAACAGAUUAUAUGGGAAAACUGGAACAGCAAAUAAAAGGUUCCGAGUAUUGCAGCGCAUCUCUAUCUUUCAUAGCAAUAGAAGAAAGUUUACAGCAGAUAGGAGGGUCUGCAACUUGAAAACCAGAACUGUCACCUCUCGAAUUUUGGGUAUCAGUAUUGGAAGGAUGGGAAACCAGCAUUAGAAUGAUGACAAACUUAAUACCAAAAUGGCAAAAUCCUAAAUGUGUGCGUGUGUGCGCGCGUGUGAGAGAGAGAGAGAGAGGGAAUCCCCACCAAACAAACACACACCACCACAAAAAAAAAAGUUGCAAGACACGGAUAUGAUUGUGAAAUAAAUACAGGGUUUUUAUCUAAAGAUGCAUGCAAUCAAAAGUAUCUGGACAGGUUUUAACAUUAUUUUGGUAGCUGUGACUCAUAAAUCAUAAUUCAAGAAAUUAAAUGGGUUUUAAAUGACAUGUGCCAUCGGUUAUAUUACUCGCACUGUGAAUAUUACUUAGAUCAGUGAAACCAAUGCAUCAAAUUUGACAAUAACACAAGUUUGCAGAGGGCACGACUUACUUUUGUGGAUGCCCAGACAUGCACAAUAGGCAUCAUUUCUAUAAAUGAACUAAAAUAUCCAACUAAUUGCUUUCAUUAUUGCUCAUCAUCAUCGCGGUUACUUUGAUUGUGUUUCUGAGCUCUAUAAAUAUCUGCUACCUGCAAUCCAACAACAAUUCAGAAAGAGGCCCAGGCAACAUUUCAUUAAUGUGCGAAAGAUUAUCAGUGAAUUAAUAAAGAACCAGCAAUCAAAAGAUUUUUCUUUACCAUAUCAGCAGAAGAGGCAUCCUCUGGAUUCUUAUCUUCUCGAACCCGUAGUAAACGUGGAAACCGAAGAGAAAUUCCCUUUGGAAAAUUAAAAUUAACAAGGUGAAGGGAUAUCAGAUUUGAAUCACAGGAACAAAAUUUUUCAUUGUCUAAGAAUAACUCACGAUCUACAUAACAAUAAUCUCAACACCCGGUUUACCACUAGUUUGGUAUGUCAGAGGAAAAAAAAGUGUCACGAUGUGGCAUGAAGUUCAACAGCCAUAUACACUUUCCUUUGGGGCACGACGAGGGGCAGCACUCCCUCCAAAAUUGAAUGAAGUCUAAAGAUUUUACCAUGUACAUAAUUUAUUUUCAAAGUAGUCCUUUUUGACAAAAGGGUUUGCCCCUUCUAAUGUUUUAAAAAUCUUAUAGCACUUAACAGAGCACCGCAGCCCCCCCACCCCCCCAACAACAAAAAAAACACCCAGCGGCUAACAAAAAGUCUUGGUUUUGCCAAUGCUUGCAAAAAAGGAUAGAAUGAUAGAAAAAGGGAGGAGAAAAUGACCAGUAAAAUUAAUCUUAAGAGCUUAAUCAAAGUAUGAUGGAUUCACUGCCAGGAAGUUCAGAUGUAUUCUUUAACUUAAUUGUACACGCUUGGAAGUAAACAAAUACCUUGUCUGAAUCCACAAUACCAGUAGCAGCACGAUGAACAGGACUGAUAGUCAGAUCAGCAGCUUUUACCUCCCAAACCUGAAGGAGUAUGACUCAAAAGAUCACUGUAUGAGGCAGAACAAUAAUCUGCAUAAAAAAGGAGCAUGCUAGAAGAAAGUCUAUAUUCACAAGGAACGGGAUUCCCACAUGUACAACACGAAGAAUGCUAAUAAAGCAUCCAACUUAAGUCUAAAAAAAUGGAUGUAUCAAACAAAACCCAUAGAGCAAGAAAACUUCGCUCCCAACAUUUCUUCCUGAGUACAGAAACACUCUGGAAAAGAAUAUCACAAAACAUUGGCAUAGAAUUAUUGCAUAAUUCAUUACGAUCAAUGAGAAUCUCACAAAAGAAUAGACAUUGAGAGAUUAUGUGAGCCAGCUGGCACUGAUGUAAAAAGCAGAGUAAUGAAAAAAAGGAAGAAAAUCACAAACAAUGAACAGAAAAGGAAGCAGAGGAUAACUUAUACUACCUCAAUAGGUUCAAACCAUACAUCUGGAUUGAUUGUAUCUGAGUACCGGUAAUAAGACUGGGAUAUCAUUUAAAUCCAGAAACAUGUCAGAAUCCGUAUAAGGUUUACAGAAAUACAAAAUUCUUCCUAUUCAAUGAGGAAGUAAAUGAAAUACCUUUGGCUUGGGAAUAACUUUAGAGCGCAAGCUGGCAGAGCGCUCUUCAAGCACAGCUUCAGAAAAUCCAGUGCCUAAGCACAACCAAGAAGUUUCUUAUCACUUGAUGUCAAGGGAUGUAUGUAUUUAGAGUUUAGACAAAGUAAUUGAAGUUUCCUAUCAAGGUAAAUUUCACAGUGAACCAUUAAGUAGGCACAUUACCAAUUUUACAUAUGCUCUGGAAUUCUUCGUUGUUGACAUCAUAACAAGCAAGGAGAAAGGCUCCAUAAACACCUAAAAAUGGUUCAACAAAGUUAUGAAACCAACUUCCAAUAAAUGCAGCAAUACAAACCCAAUUAAAAAGCAAAAGAGUAUACACUGGUAACUAUAUCUGAAGCUAGGGUGAAGAAUGUCAAGCAUAGUGACACAAAUCUGAAUCUGAGCCAAAAUAAGCGAAUAAUCACUUAGUGUCCUCUCAAAAAUAUGAUAUGUCAAAUUACCAGUACGUUUUCCCCGGCCAUGGAAAGCAGCAAUGGGAACCAAAUCCAGUGAGUCACCCGUACUGCAGAUCAUAUAAGGUGAAAAGUAAGUUUUCAUCCUUGGUUGCUUUUCAAAUUUCUGUAGUAAUCCUUUCUCGUCGAGGCUACUACAGCAUGCCAUGAUCAUUCAGUUUCUAUAUUUAUGUUUGACCUUCUUCUUGACAUUCCAAAUCAAUUACUCGGGGCAGAAGUUCAGCAAAUUUAAGGUUGAUCUAGUAUUUCAUCCAUCCCUUUAAAUGUGUGCUUGCUACCAAUCCAGUAUUUCAUCAAUCCAUUGAAUGUAAAUUUGCCAUUUUUUGGAUGUAUCGAUUUACCUAAAAGGUAAAAUUGCUGAAUAAUUAUGCCCCAAAGGAAUAGCCAGUGCUGUGAGUUCAAUGCACAUACCUAUCCAUGUAAUCCUUUUUCAACUUCAGCCAGUUAUUUGACCGCUUGGAAGGCUCAUACGUGGCAUCUUUCUUCAAUGUCUUAAUUAUCAACCCCUCACAACUGCAAAGAUGGAUAGACAAAAUAACAAACAGUUCUUGUAGAAUCUGUAGAAACAUUUUUGUUGAUUCUGCAGAAAGAAGCUCCAAGCUAGGAGCCCUCAGGUGAAGCUAAGCACAUCUCAACUUUGAAGCCAGAAAAAAGGGAGAAACUACUACUUCUUAGACAAAUAAUAUUACAUUUCACCAUCUAUUAAUGCAGGGAAAAAAAGGGAAAAAGAACUCCUUAGACCACAGCACAUUAGGAACAUAUAGCAAGAAAAAAUGACAGAUGUACAGAGAAAAAACUGAAUUAAAUUAUCUAACUAGUUGACUUUUCUGACCAGCCAAAAUUCUAGUGCACUAGAAGCCAUAAGGUUGGAUGAUCUUAUAUUGCACUAGGCAAGCAUAAGAUCAUCGAAUACAACAGGUUUGACCUAACAGAGAGAAACUGUAUUGUACAAAACUUUGUCCACAGGCAAAAGUUGACAGAUAUAAUAAUUACGAUUCCGCCAAGUGCAGAAGUCAAAGAUUAAAAAAGAAAAAUUCUAACAGUAAAUAAAGUAGAUUAAGCCAAUUAGUAACAAUACAAUAAGGCCACGACAGGAAAAUGAUCUUGAACUCUGCAAAGAAGAGUUACCUGGCAUCAACAGCAGCUUCAAGGAACUUCUGUAUUUCCUCAAGAUCAUUUGAUGUUACUGCUGUAGCAAAUUGAAAAAAGCCAGGUUCUUCCUCAAAUGACUCGUAAAGAUGCUGCAUAAAACCAGUCAUAAAGAGUAAAGGAAAAUAACAUGACUACUAAAAGGUCGACAAUCAGCAUUAAAGAUAAUAGCCUGAGACAUGUUUACUGAGCAAGCACUGUCAUUUGGAUUCUUUUUAGUUUAUUUCAUCGUGGGAAAAGGAGAGGAGAGUCACAAGACGUUCUUUAUGCGAUACUCAAAACAUUUUGGUCAAACCAUUUUAGUAAUUUGACUUUAAAUAAAAAAUCCAAGAGUCUUUUUACCCAACGCUAAAAGCAGAUAAAGAUAUUAACAUCAUUGAACAAAAAUUAGCAUACCUGCCUUCGACUGUCAAGCUGUGCUUGUAGAAGAGGUUGGCCAUUGAUAUACAAGAUAUCAAAAGCAUAUAUGCAAACACCAACCUUUAUUUCACUCAAGACCACAUUUUUACGAGCCCGUGUGCUGAGGACCUGCCACCAAUUCAAUACUUUUAAGUCUGAAUUUGUAAUACCAUUCUUACAACUCUAGUCAUAUUAGUAGCCCAAUUAGUAAUGAAUCUACCCUUAGUCAUAUUCAUCAAAAUUUCACCACCUUCAAAUAUUUUAGAGCAGACACUGGACAGAUCAAAUUGGCCGAAACUUUAAUACCUCAACAGUCAAAAAUCUCCAGUUCCUAUCAAAGAAAAUCAAGAAUUUUAUGACAUCAACUGACUCAAAUGAAGCACCUGAAAUAGAUGCAAGAAAGAACUUGCACGUGUAGUUUUAAGAUAUCCCAUAGGGGGACUGAAGGUGUUGGGAAGCAUUUCAUGGGCCAGGCCCCAGGCAUGCCCCAUUUAAGUUCAUGAUGAGAUAGCCCAUAACAGAUAGCCCUAGGAUUUUGAGCAUGCUCAAUACCAAGAUGAUUCUUACAGCACCCAAAGUUGACGAGUUCACAAACGAAAAACAAAGAUGACUCGACCACUUUCUUCCCAAUACAGGAUUGAAGGAGAUUUGUUACUUUGCCAAUUUAAUACUUCAGCAUUGAUUGUACAUAAAUUAUUAACAUUGUAUAUGUUGUUGUCAUAUGCCACAACAAAGAUCAUGAAGGCUACACAAUAAGCAAUGCUAGAGCCAGAAUGGGAGACUUAAAUCAGUUAGCAAUCGAUUUUUCUAUUUAACUUCAAUUGUUCUGAUGUGCUAGCAUAGUUAAAAGGACCACUUCAGCAGGCCCAUGACAAAAUCAGAUUUACAAAGAUCUUGCACUUAGGCAAGCUCAAUAUUACAGAAGUAAACAGUUCACCUGGAAGGGGAGAAUUUUUUUCUUCUCACGAUCAAAUGCAACAAUUUCACAAUCAAGAACAAAUGAGGUUACAGACGGCCUUUUAAACCUGCAAUAAAACAGCUAAAUGUCAGGAAAAUUGAGAGAGAUUUUCUGGCAGACUUGUAAUGUUAGUAGGGAACAACUAGUCAUUCUUAAAAAUAAGCUCUACUGAUAUACUCUCAUACCCAACUAUGUAAAUUAUGUUUCUGCUCAUUAAGAAAGCAAUAGACUACAAAAACCCAUCAUGAGAAGGCCCACCACAGCAGUGAAAGUACAGUGCUAAGCUCAGACAGCCUUACUCAACCAAGUAAAGAGACUCUUCCUGUUCAUCAAACCAUUAACCAGCUUGUGACAGCAUGUUCCAAAUCAAAGUUUGAGUGGGCUACAAUAAAAGUACCUUGAAAUUGCAUCCACAACAUCAGGAUACUUUCCAGUGUUUCUUUCUGCAUUUCGACUAUAUAUCUCCACUGUACCAUCCUCCAUGUAGUGAAUCUGCAGGACAUGGUUAGACAAACACACAUCAUCAAGACUGUGAAAGGAAAGGCAUAUAACAUAGGCGUCAUGUCUAGUUUCUUGCUACCUGAGCACGUUCUCCAUCGUACUUGUAUUCACAGGUGAAUUCAAUAUCCUGAAACUUAUCCAAUAUUUCAGAAACUCCCUUAGUUGGUUUUGCUAGCAUAGGUCCAACAGGAACACCAGGUGAAAAGCUACAUGUCUUGGGAAGAUCCCAUACACCAUCAGCAAGAAGAGCAGAGAUUAUUUUAUCAUAGACUGGAAUUACCGAGUAAACUUGUUUCACGAUUUUAGCAGCCUGAGGGAAGGAAGGCAAUUUCACAACAUGUUUAUGCAAUAAACAAAAAACUCUCUUAAAUUUGCACAUAGUAUUAGCAUAAUAAUAAAAUCUAAUUAAAAAAUUUAUUCAAACUCUCUCAGAAGCUUAAAUUCAUGCCAAGAUACCUCUUCUAAAGAAGAAUCUAUAUUUGCAGGAGUUGAAGAUUGCUUAUCAGCAUAAACUGCAGCAUGGCCCAAAGCAGCUAACAGAGUUUGCUCAGCUAAACCAAUGCGCAGUUUAGCCUGCAUGUAGAGUUCAAGAAUAAUUUUCAGGGAUUAAAGGUGCCAAUUUGUGAUAUUAGAUCUUCAAUUGUCUCACCUGGAGCAGACGAAUCAAGUACUGAGGUUCACAAUCUGUAGCAGCAACCAGUAGUGCCUUGAUAUGAUUCUUUUUCUUCUCUUGACUAUCCUUACCAGAUUCCUAACGCAAAUCACGUAGAGAUACAGUUACAAAACUAAAAGAAGUAAACCGUUGUUAUGCUCUUCUCUAGAUCAAUAAAUUAUAAGUUAAUAAACAAGCACCAAUUCAUGUGCAUAUCUCGGCUGAUUACCCAUCAUCCCAAAAAAAAAAAGCCUCUCUCUCUCCCCCCUGAUGUUCAACUUUUCUCACCCGUCUCUCUCUCUUCCGUUUCCUCUGUAAUCUUUAUCUUAUUCUCUCUCUCUCUCUACCUAUGCUUCUCUUGCCCCCCUCGCAACUUUCACUUUUACCUCCUAACCCAUCCUCUCCUCUACCGGUCAGCCCUCCCUUCAACAUGCAAUGACCAUGGAAGCCAAGCUAGAGAUAGAUAAUUGAGGAUUUUUUUUGUUGGUCUCAUGGUAGAUCAGCCUUUCCUACAUAUUAAUAGUGUUGUGGGGAUGUUGUUGGGAAUUCAUGAUGGAUCAAAGUUUUGAUUAACAGUUUGUGGUGAUUUUGGUGGUUUUGCAGAUAUAUGAAAUUUUGAAAAAAUAGUGUGCUGUCAUUUGAAAUUGGUGGGGAUUAGUGGGAUGAUUCAAAGAGUUGAAAACAUUUCUAGUUUGGCAAGAAUGGAUGUGAUGUUAGCGGCUGCUUUUGUUGUUUGUUGUUGGCUGAGUUUUUUUUUUUUAAUUUCGUUGUUGGCUGAGUUCGGUGGCGGUCUAGUUGCAGUCAUACAGAGUCCAUUUGGGAAGAAAGAUAACAAAGUUGGCAAAAGAGGAAAGAUAACAAAGUUGGCAAAAGAGGGCAAAGAAUUAGCUAGACAUACUAAAAAAAAAAUUCACUGGAUUCCUAUUUCACCACAACAAACCAAACAUACGAAAAGAAGUUGCUAAAACCCAUUACGAUUGAGGACCCUUGAUACUCAUUGCUAUUGCCAUUCCAGAAUACCAACCAAACAGGUAGUUAGUGUACUCUAGCUCCAAAACAUUUCAAAAAAUAGAUUUCAAGUUUCAUGUAUGGAAACCAAUAAAGGCAGCUAUGAAUAUCUUAAGGAAUAAGGCAAUCCAGUUUAACUCUCCUCUACAGCGAAUAAGAUCAAAGCUCAUCAUCGAAGUCCAUGAAAUAGGAAAAUUCCCAGGCACCUUAGCAAUAAGGCGAAAUGUAUCAAAAACUUUAACAACAAUUAGUGCUUCUGGUUUGCGCAUUAAAGACUGAGACGAACGGCUUGCUUUUGCAACAAGGCCUAGAUCACCAAGCUCCUGAGGCAAGUCGGAUAGUGAAGUAAUCAUUCAAAAUCAAAAAGAAGAAAGAAAUUGCGGGCAAAAACUUGCAGGAUUUUGAUAUGUCAGGAGAUUCCUGCACACAAAUUAUUAAGCAAAUAUAACUAGACUACACCAUUCGCAAGCUUUGAAUGAAAUUCUGCUCCUCUAACUACAAAAUUUCUUAAAACAAGUGCAGUGUACUCAUUGCAGAAAGAUCAGCCAGAGCCUUCCAUUAAAUCAAGCAACUAGAGUCACAGAAGUCAAGUAAAUCAUAAAGAGAAUAAAUGAUAAAUUUUUUUUUGCAAAUUGUAUCUUAGAUCAAUUAAAAAAAAAUUUUCCAGACAAGCUACUGCGUACAAAAUGUAACAACAACCAACGUACAGCUGCAGCCAAAGAAAGUAACAAGGUAAAACUAAAGCAGCUUCUCAAAUAAUGCAGUUACUUCGUAGAACCAAAAUCGAGCCCAAAACUAAAAUCACAGGCAAAGGGUCGAAUGUUUUUGACAUCAACAUAGCACCAAAGCUAAAUUCAAAAUAUUCAAUUAAAUGUGGCAUUUGACUGGACAAGCUUUUUUUCUAAUCCCAUUCUUGAUAAUUUGUAUAAGAACAAUAGUGCUUGUACAGAGUUAGUAGAUACCUUGCAAACCGAAUCAGACAACACAAUAAUCACCAUAGCAGCAUUCUACAGCAUUGAAGCCACAGCUAGGCAGAGACCUAAAUACAGCAUGGGACUUAUGUUUCUUUCUCCUCCCCUAUUCUCCAUCUCAUUUGUUAAUGUUUUGCAAUUAAUGAAACAAGGCCAAAAAUCUCUAGAAUUUCAUUUACUAGAACUGAGAACAAGUUACCCGCGAUCAUUCUGUCAUUUCACUUGAAGUACAAUUUCUUUAAUUUCUUGGCAUCGAGUUAAGAAAAGCCAACUCCACAAACAAUAAUAUUCAGAGAUAAGAAAAGAAAUUCAAUCAGUUCUAAACCACACCCAAGAUUUGAUAAACACGAGUGACUGGAAUGUAGUAGAGUUUCACCUUGUACUGCUUCUUAAUUUGUGCUUCUUUUGUUCCGCACGCCUCGUACAGAGCCUUAAUAAUCGAAGCAUCCCCAAUCCCAAGCUCCAAUCCUUCAUGAGCUGGAGCAAUCCGGUUCGCCAAAAGGUAAACAACAGCCACCAAAUCCUCUGGCGUCGUUUCCAUCACAGUCCUCAACAUGUUACAAACAAUUGCAGUUAUCGCAAUCCGCCCUGAUUCUUUAGAAAUAGCAUCCAACGCCUUCGCUACAAACAUAAACGGCACCCUUUGUGCCUUUCCCCAAUAUGCCGCCUUCUUGGGAUCAAAACUUGCCGCCUUAUCCUUCAACUCAAGAAGGCUCGCAUCAGGAGUAAUUGCCACCUUAGGUUUCUUAACCACCGCUUCCUCACUUUUCCCCAGCUGGGUUUCUUAAACACCGCUUCCUCACUUUUCCCCAGUAAUUGCCACCUUCGUCAUUUUUCAUAUUUUUUUCCAGCUGGGUUUCUUUAAUUUGAGCUGAAUCAGGUUCUUUGACUGAAAUCGGAGUAGAAUUUUGAGAAGUGAUGAUGGGGGUGGGGGUUUUGCGUUUCUUGGGAGAUGGUUUUUGUUGUUUCUGCACGGACUUUUUCUUGCUGGCAUUGGACAUGAGGAGGUCGAAGGCAGAAGGGUGAGAAGCCAUUGCUGCUAGUGAUCCUGGAUUAACUAAUGGAAUCGAGAGAAAGAGGGAUCUCUGAGAGAAGUGUUUUGCGGGGAAGGAAGAAUAGAUGAGAAAGUAGGGCUUAAAACCGAGUGGUUUUCUGAGGGGAUGAAGCGAAAGAGUGUGGUGGGUAAAGUGGAGUGAAGAAGAGCAUGACCUGAAUGCGGUGAGCAUCAGCUGCCGUUUUUCUGCUACGGAGAGGGAGACAACUGACACGGGUUGCUGUUGCGGAUGCGGAUGGCUAGGAGGAAAGAGGAAGGCAAAUGGCGGGAAAGGAAAUUGAGGGUUUUGUGAACUUAGGAUUGAAAAUUGCCAGAAAAGCCUUUGGAAAAAAAUUGCUGGGGAAGCCUUUUUUGGUGUUUGGGUGAUGAGUUGUUAGCAAAAUCUUGAGAGAGGGACUAAAAUUUUCAUUUCGUAAGCUAGCAAUAGGUGACUUGAAAUUUGUGAUUUGAAGGUUUGAGGUGUACCCCCCAAAAAAAUAAUAACAAAGUCGUAAGCUAGCAAUAUGCAGACUAGUGAGUUAGUGGUAUAUUAGUGGUUUAUUAUACGUUUUCUUUCACUAUGUUCACACUCUGAAGUCUGAAUUAUUCCAACCCAAUUGAUGAAAAAUGUUUUAAAAAUAUUUAGGACAAAUGCAAUAUCCACAUAGUUUAUUUUUGUGAUAUGUCGCAUCGUGGAGUGGAAACGGCAUGCAUAUAUGCUUGGGCUCGUGAGUUAUCAAGUAAUUUAGAUUAAUCAUAUUUUGUACCAUAAUUUGGCUCAAAAGUUAAUUAGGCCAACCCGUGGAUCAAAAGCGUUACAAUUUUGACUUAUUUUAUUGAUUCAAGUUUGUUCAAAAACUUUUUUUGGUAAAAAAUUUAUGCGACAUGGAAACAUAAUUUGGUGAAUUCACAAAACCAUGUAUAUUGCACAUGCCAAAAUCAGCUCGAAAGUGGAUUGUCCAACCCAAUUGUAAUGAUACAAGUUUUAAAAGAUUAGCAAAGAUGCAUAUGAAGGUAAAAAAAGGUGAUUAGCAAAUGUGUUUACGAAAAAAAAAAUUUUAAAAGAAAACAGUUUUCCAAAAUUUUAACUCUUGCACCCAUUCCUACACUUUUCUACUCCCAACUGUCAAGUUCAGAAUUCGAACUUUGAACUCGACGACGUUGGUCAUUGGACCAAUCCCAAUGCUUAAUUUUACCAAACUUGCAAAACAAGAAAUAAGAAAUAAAGACCGACCAAAACGUCUAUAAGUAUACUGAUCACAACAAAUAAUAUAAAAUCUGUUUUGACUCGCCAAACUUAGGUUAUUUGCAUGAGUUUCUUCAUUGUUUUUUAAUUUUAAUAAUAAUUGAUAUCCCUCUUCUGAAGGUCUCUCCACAGUCUCCACACACGGGGUUGAUGGAACAGUUUUUGAAUGAGAGCCAUUCAAGUCAUGUUGUUGAUUGGAGUUCCAGAAAAAAAAAACUCCAAAUUCCGUCUGCAACUGGCUGGGGCGGUACGCUGGUACGGAACAAAAAAUCUAUAAUAAGAUAAACAAUGGAAUGUAGUUGUAAUGAUGAACCCCUACCUAAACCUAAAUAAACGGAAUAAUUAAUACACCACCAAAUCAAUAAUUGUAUCAUAUUCUACAUGUUCUUUCCUUCUCGAACUAGCUUGCAACUGGUUUUGAUACGUCAGGUUUCUUUACAGGGACUAGACUACAACUACUUGUAUGGACGAAGAAACUCCAAGUUCCUAAGUCCACGAAUUUCGGAUCCCACCAGUGAUUUUUGUGUUGUUGGUCAUGAUUAGUUUCUUCUUAUCUUCUCUCCAGUGCAGGACGGUUGGUCAACUGAACAUGCAAGUUGAUAAUUGCUCAAUUCUUCAAUGAUAAUAAUGUUGAUGAAAAACUCACAAAUUAUGCAGAACGAUCUGCAGCAGAAGGGCCUGCAUUGAUUGCUUAUAAUGAGAAUCCACUUCACUUGGGCAGAAAGCUAGGGGGUGAGCAUGAGAAAUGGCAGCUACCUAUUUGGAUUGCAUUUUUCGUCAUUUUUCAUCGAAAAAUUACUGUAGCGAUUUGAUGUACGUAAGGAAAAAAGAUAAUAGAAAAAUGUGUUCACGAAAAACGACGCAAUUUUCUGAUAAAAAAUGGCAAUCCAAACACACUGGCUUCAACUACUUGGUCCACUAAUAUUGCUGCUGCAUAUGGAGGUUGAGAAACAGGGAUGGUGUUGGUUUGUGGGUCCCCCUUAGACUGACUUUAGGGUCCGUUCUUUCGUUGACUCAUGAGUGUUUCUAAUCUAACUGUGUGUGUUCUUCUUCUGUCUAUAGAAAAAAGAAAGUGUAGUAAACUUUUUUCAUUCUUAUUUCUCCCUCCGUCCCACUUUGAUAGUCUUAUUUUUUUUCACACAAUUUAAGGAAAAAUAGUUAAUUUUGUUGAAAAAAUAAAUUUAGAUUGCCAUUUUUCUAACAUAUCCUUACAUUAAAUAUGGUACAACUUUAUGGGAACUUAGAAUUGAUGGUAAAAAAAGAAUAAACUCUCAUUAAAUGGAGUAGAUUUAUAGUAACAACUACUUACAUUGAAUAAGGGUAUAUUAGAAAAAUUAAAAUACAACUACAUUCUUCAAUUGAAAAGUGGACUACAAUUUGGGAUAGAUGAAAAAGGAAUACAGGACUAUCAAAGUGGGACGGAGGGAAUAUGAUACUUUUAUUAUAGUUCAUAAGCCCAAAAAAAAAAGAAAGAAAGUGUAGUAACAUUUGAUUCGUAGUCAUUAUAUAUAUUAUUAAAAUGCAUGCAUAUACAUUUAUAAUAUUUUUUUAAUUUAAUUUCACGCUUUCAAAAAAAGUACUACUGUAUGAAAUCUAUUUUGGCAGUGUCCACUAGAUAGCAUUAGACAAUUAAGACAUAAUAGGGAUUGCAAUAAUGUUUUUCAAAAAAAAAAUUCCAAUCAGUAACCGACACACUACUCAUUUUCCAAAAUCAGCUCUUGUAAUUCCACUUUCACCUGCAGUUCACGGGCUUCCCAUAGAAAAUCCAUCCUAAUUUAAACUGUGCAGUUUUUGCGGGGAGACCAUCCAUCUCCAUCUGGUAGGUCAAGACUUGUAUAGGAUUUAGGCUACUGAUUGAUGAGUCAACAAAAAAAAAAUAAAAAAACAAAAAGAAAGAAUCUUUACCCCUGAAGUUUAAACAAACAAAACAUUAAAUUAUUGUAGACAUGACCUCGUGGAAAUCUGCUCUUAUUAAAAUGUUUUGAAAUUAACCAAGCAGACAAAAGAAGAUUUGGCAUUCCAAGAAAUACAAAAUUAGUGUCAGUUAAUAAGGGUUAAUUUGGUUUCUUUCUCAUGUUUGGUGUCCCUCUUCAUGUUGCUUCGAUUUGGUCGCAUAAAUUACAAAGGAGAGUGACAAAACAAUUGACCAAAAGAGAACAGAACAGAAUGGAACAUUUGCAAUGUUGUCAUGGAGUUCGAUCUGACAAGAUGUGGAGUAGAUCACUCUAUAUUUUAUCGGCAUUCUAAUGCUAGUAAAAUUUUAUUAGUUGUUUAUGUGAAAAAUAUUGUGAUUACAAGUGAUGAUGUUGUGAGGAUCCAGAAACUUAAAUCCAAUCUGCAGGCAAACUUUCAGACAAAAGAUUUAGGUCAUCUACAGUAUUUUUUGUGUAUUGAGGUAGCUCGGUCUAAAUAUGGGAUUUAUUUAUGUCAAAGGAAAUAUGUACUCAAUAUGUUGAGUGAAGUUGGGAUGUUAGGUUGCCGACCUGUGGAUACUCCUAUGGAUCCCAAUGUGAAAUUAGUAGGAGAUCAAGGUGCAUUACUUGAUGAUCCUAAGCAAUAUCGAAGACUUGUGGGUAAAUUAAAUUAUCUCACUGUAACGAGAUCUGACAUUUCAUUUGCAGUGUGUGUUGUGACUCAAUUUCUUGAUGCCCCUCGUACUAGUAAUUGGGAUGCUGUUAUACGAAUUUCCAAGUAUCUUAAGAGUGCUUCUGAGAAAGGGUUGCUGUAUCAAAAUCAUGGACAUACUGAUAUUGAAGGAUAUAGUGAUGCAGAUUGGACUGGUUCUGCCUCAGAUCGAAAAUCGACCAAAGGAUAUUGUGUGUUUGUUGGUGGUAAUUUAGUGUCGUGCAAGAGUAAGAAGCAAACAAUUGUCUCCAGAUCAAGUGUAGAAUCUGAAUGACUCACUGUAUGUGAGUUGGUUUGGUUGAAGAGCAUGUUACUUGAAAUUGAGUUUGAGCAUAAACAGUGAUGCGAACUCGACCCAAUAAGAACCUGUCAUGAAGAACCGAAUCGAUCAGGCAGCGGAAGGAUCUAUCUUGAUCAGGUUAUGGAACAAUAACUACCUUGCUAGAUCUAAAGAGAACCUGUCUCUAGAAACCUAGUGGAUUGGUUAUUGGCUUGAAAGAAUAAGAUGAAGUGAUCAUCUUGCCUUGAACACCACAAGUAUCCAAGCUAAAUACUUGAUACUGUUCAAGAAGAAACUCAAGUUCCAUCAAGGAACUCCAUAAAAGGAGACAACUCUCUUUUUAUUAAUUCAUCUUCAAUCUGCUCUCCCAAUAGUUAAAUAAAGUUGGCUAUUUAUAGCCUUACAAGACUCAAAACCAUAAUCUAUAUUGGAAACAAUACAAGUUUUUUUAUUUGACUCGACUUCUAAACUUGACACAAUUUCCUAAACAAAUUUGGAAGCAAUUAACUGUUUUCCUAAAACUCUAAUUCAACUAGAAUAGGAAACUAGCUAAUUCAAAUUGGCUUAACUAUGGUCAACAUGACCUUAGCCUUUAUUCCCUAAUUCAAGCAACUUACUUAACUCUCAAUUUGGAAAUCAAUCAAGAUACCAAUCAAGAUUAGGAAGCCAAUUAAAAUUUGGAACAUUUGGAUCUUCAAUGAUUCUCGAGCCUGAUUGCACCAUCAACCAUCAUUAGAAUGUGAAGACUUGUAAAAUGAAAGGAAUCCAUGCAAAUCUUCAUGUUCUCAAAAAACAGCUUAUAAAUCUAGUGUGUGAUAAUCAGGCAGCUGUCCAUAUUGCGUCUAAUCCAGUGUUUCAUGAAAGGACAAAACAUAUUUAAGUUAAUUGUUACUUCAUUCGAGAAAAAUUGCUUGACGGAGUCAUCAAGACAUCUCAUGUACCGUCUGUAGAUCAAUUGGCUGAUUUGUUUACCAAGAAUUUAGGGGGCUCUAGGGUGAAAUACAUUUAUGAUAUAUAUGCUCCAACUUGAGGGGGAGUGCUAGGAGAAUAUCAAUAUUUUUGUAGAUAAUAUUAGUAAGGGUAUUCUUGUAAAUAGUUGGUUAGAUUUGUACUCCUAUAAAUACUAGUUGGUCACUCAUAAUACAGUGACUAGAUGUUUUCCUCCCAAGAUACCUGCUGACAGACUUAAAAAAAUCCAAGAGUCUUUUGCACAAUGCUAAAAGCAGAUAAAGAUAUAAACAUCAUUGAACAAAAAUUAGCAUACCUGUCCUCGACUGUCAAGCUGUGCUUGUAGAAGAGGUUGGCCAUUGAUAUACAAGAUAUCAAAAGCAUAUAUGCAAACACCAACCUUUAUUUCACUCAAGACCACAUUUUUACGAGCCCGUGUGCUGAGGACCUGCCACCAAUUCAUACUUUUAAGUCUGAAUUUGUAAUACCAUUCUUACAACUCUAGCAUUUCAUCAAGUAACAAUUCAUGUGUGACACUCUUUCCAGCAAAAUGAAAAGCUGAACACCAGAAGAAGCUGGCUCCUUAAUGACAAGAAAUAUACUUUGAAGCAUAAAGUGUAGAGACAACAUAUGUUUAGGAAACCUAAGUGUGUCCCCUUUAUCCUCCUGGUGGGUGGUAGGGACAUGGUCAGUGGAAAAGAAUAGCCUGAUAUAUAUAAAUCAGUAAAAUUUGUGGACGUGUUACAAGAUUAAGGCAAGGCCCCUGAUGGAGACUAAUGAUGGUCUAUUUGCCAAAGCAUGACUUGAAUUACCUAAAAGAAACUAAAAAAAGUGCUUAUACAAAAGCAUCAAAUCAAAUACAAUAUAUUCCAAAUUCAAUUUUCAAGUUGUUUGGCCUAACAUCCAUGUAGCAUCAUCACCCCCUCAAAGUGUAAAUUCCUCAUUUGAUCAACAAAAAGUAGCCCAAUUAGUAAUGAAUCUACCCUUAGUCAUAUUCAUCAAAAUUUCACAACCUUCAAAUAUUUUAGAGCAGACACUGGACAGAUCAAAUUGGCCGAAACUUUAAUACCUCAACACUCAAAAAUCUCCAGUUCCUAUCAUAGAAAAUCAAGAAUUAUAUGACAUCAACUGACUCAAAUGAAGCACCUGAAAUAGAUGCAAGAAAGAAGUUGCACGUGUAGUUUCAAGAUAUCCCAUAGGGGGACUGAAGGUGUCGGGAAGCAUUUCAUGUGACAGACCCCAGGCAUGCCCUAUUUAAGUUCAUGAUGAGAUAGCCCAUAAUAGAUAGCCCUAGGAUUUUGAGCAUGCUCAAUACCAAGAUGAUUCUUACAGCACCCAAAGUUGAUGAGUUCACAAACGAAAAACAAAGAUGACUCGACCACUUUCUUCCCAAUACAGGAUUGAAGGAGAUUUGUUACUUUGCCAAUUUAAUACUUCAGCAUUGAUUGUACAUAAAUUAUUAACAUUGUAUAUGUUGUUGUCAUAUGCCACAAUAAAGAUCAUGAAGGCUACACAAUAAGCAAUGCUAGAGCCAGAAUUGGAGACUUAAAUCAGUUAGCAAUCGAUUUUUCUAUUUAACUUCAAUUGUUCUGAUGUGCUAGCAUAGUUAAAAGGACCACUUCAGCAGGCCCAUGACAAAAUCAGAUUUACAAAGAUCUUGCACUUAGGCAAGCUCAAUAUUACAGAAGUAAACAGUUCACCUGGAAGGGGAGAAUUUUUUUCUUCUCACGAUCAAAUGCAACAAUUUCACAAUCAAGAACAAAUGAGGUUACAGACAGCCUUUUAAACCUGCAAUAAAACAGCUAAAUGUCAGGAAAAUUGAGAGAGAUUUUCUGGCAGACUUGUAAUGUUAGUAGGAAACAACUAGUCAUUCUUAAAAAUAAGCUCUACUGAUAUACUCUCAUACCCAACUAUGUAAAUUAUGUUUCUGCUCAUUAAGAAAGCAAUAGACUACAAAAACCCAUCAUGAGAAGGCCCACCACAGCAGUGAAAGUAUAGUGCUAAGCUCAGACAGCCUUACUCAACCAAGUAAAGAGACUCUUCCUGUUCAUCAAACCAUUAACCAGCUUGUGACGGCAUGUUCCAAAUCAAAGUUGGAAUGGGCUACAAUAAAAGUACCUUGAAAUUGCAUCCACAACAUCAGGAUACUUUCCAGUGUUUCUUUCUGCAUUUCGACUAUAUAUCUCCACUGUACCAUCCUCCAUGUAGUGAAUCUGCAGGACAUGGUUAGACAAACACACAUCACCAAGACUGUGAAAGGAAAGGCAUAUAACAUAGGCGUCAUGUCUAGUUUCUUGCUACCUGAGCACGUUCUCCAUCAUACUUGUAUUCACAGGUGAAUUUAAUAUCCUGAAACUUAUCCAAUAUUUCAGAAACUCCCUUAGUUGGUUUUGCUAGCAUAGGUCCAACAGGAACACCAGGUGAAAAGCUACAUGUCUUGGGAAGAUCCCAUACACCAUCAGCAAGAAGAGCAGGGAUUAUUUUAUCAUAGACUGGAAUUACCGAGUAAACUUGUUUCACGAUUUUAGCAGCCUGAGGGAUGGAAAGCAAUUUCACAACAUGUUUAUGCAAUAAACAAAAAACUCUCUUAAAUUUGCACAUAGUAUUAGCACAAUAAUAAAAUCUAAUUAAAAAAUUUAUUCAAACUCUCUCAGAAGUUUAAAUUCAUGCCAAGAUACCUCUUCUAAAGAAGAAUCUAUAUUUGCAGGAGUUGAAGAUUGCUUAUCAACAUAAACUGCAGCAUGGCCCAAAGCAGCUAACAGAGUUUGCUCAGCUAAACCAAUGCGCAGUUUAGCCAGCAUGUAGAGUUCAAGAAUAAUUUUCCGAUUAAAGGUGCCAAUUUGUGAUAUUAGAUCUUCAAUUGUCUCACCUGGAGCAGACGAAUCAAGUACUGAGGUUCACAAUCAGUAGCAGCAACCAGUAGUGCCUUGAUAUGAUUCUUUUUCUUCUCUUGACUAUCCUUACCAGAUUCCUAAUGCAAAUCACGUAGAGAUACAGUUACAAAACUAAAAGAAGUAAACCGUUAUGCUCUUCUCUAGAUCAAUAAAUUAUAAGUUAAUAUACAAGCACCAAUUCAUGUGCAUAUCUCGGCUGAUUACCCAUCAUCCCAAAAAAAAAGCCUCUCUCUCUCCCCCCUGAUGUUCAACUUUUCUCACCCGUCUCUCUCUCUUCCGUUUCCUCUGUAAUCUUUAUCUUAUUCUCGCUCUCUCUCUCUCUCUCUACCUAUGCUUCUCUUGCCACCCUCGCAACUUUCACUUUUACCUCCUAACCCAUCCUCUCCUCUACCGGUCAGCCCUCCCUUCAACAUGCAAUGACCAUGGAAGCCAAGCUAGAGAUAGAUAAUUGAGGUUUUUUUUUUAUUGGUCUCAUAGUAGAUCAGCCUUUCCUACAUGUUAACAGUGUUGUGGGGGUGUUGUUGGGAAUUCAUGAUGGAUCAAAGUUUUGAUUAACAGUUUGUGGUGAUUUUGGCGGUUUUGCAGAUAUAUGAAAUUUUGAAAAAAUAGUGUGUUGUCAUUUGAAAUUGGUGGGGAUUAGUGGGAUGAUUCAAAGAGUUGAAAACAUUUCUAGUUUGGCAAGAAUGGAUGUGAUGUUAGCAGCUGCUUUUGUUGUUUGUUGUUGGCUGAGUUUUUUUUUUUUCAAUUUCGUUGUUGGCUGAGUUCGGUGGCGGUCUAGUUGCAGUCAUACAGAGUCCAUUUGGGAAGAAAGAUAACAAAGUUGGCAAAAGGGGGCAAAGAAUUAGCUAGACAUACUAAAAAAAAAUUCAGUGGAUUCCUAUUUCACCACAACAAACCAAACAUACGAAAAGAAGUUGCUAAAACCCAUUACGAUUGAGGACCUUUGAUACUCAUUGCUACUGCCAUUCCAGAAUACCAACCAAACAGGUAGUUAGUGUACUCUAGCUCUAAAACAUUUCAAAAAAUAGAUUUCAAGUUUCAUGUAUCGAAACCAAUAAAGGCAGCUAUGAAUAUCUUAAGGAAUAAGGCAAUCCAGUUUAACUCUCAUCUACAGCGAAUAAGAUCAAAGCUCAUCAUCGAAGUCCAUGAAAUGGGAAAAUUCCAAGGUACCUUAGCAAUAAGGCGAAAUGUAUCAAAAACUUUAACAACAGUUAGUGCUUCUGGUUUGCGCAUUAAAGACUGAGACGAACGGCUUGCUUUUGCAACAAGGCCUAGAUCACCAAGCUCCUGAGGCAAGUCGGAUAGUGAAGUAAUCAUUCAAAAUCAAAAAGAAGAAAGAAAUUGCGGGCAAAAACUUGCAGGAUUUUGAUAUGUCAGGAGAUUCCUGCACACAAAUUAUUAAGCAAAUAUAACUAGACUACACCAUUCGCAAGCUUUGAAUGAAAUUCUGCUCCUCUAACUACAAAAUUUCUUAAAACAAGUGCAGUGUACUCAUUGCAGAAAGAUCAGCCAGAGCCUUCCAUUAAAUCAAGCAACUAGAGUCACAGAAGUCAAGUAAAUCAUAAAGAGAAUAAAUGAUAAAUUUUUUUUUGCAAAUUGUAUCUUAGAUCAAUUAAAAAAAAAAAUUUCCAGACAAGCUACAACGUACAAAAUGUAACAACAACCAACGUACAGCUGCAGCCAAAGAAAGUAACAAGGUAAAACUAAAGCAGCUUCUCAAAUAAUGCAGUUACUUCGUAGAACCAAAAUCGAGCCCAAAACUAAAAUCACAGGCAAAGGGUCGAAUGUUUUUGACAUCAACAUAGCACCAAAGCUAAAUUCAAAAUAUUCAAUUAAAUGUGGCAUUUGACUGGACAAGCUUUUUUUCUAAUCCCAUUCUUGAUAAUUUGUAUAAGAACAAUAGUGCUUGUACUGAGUUAGUAGAUACCUUGCAAACCGAAUCAGACAACACAAUAAUCACCAUAGCAGCAUUCUACAGCAUUGAAGCCACAGCUAGGCAGAGACCUAAAUACAGCGUGGGACUUAUGUUUCUUUCUCCUCCCCUAUUCUCCAUCUCAUUUAUUAAUGUUUUGCAAUUAAUGAAACAAGGCCAAAAAUCUCUAGAAUUUCAUUUACUAGAACUGAGAACAAGUUACCAGCGAUCAUUCUGUCAUUUCACUUGAAGUACAAUUUCUUUAAUUUCUUGGCAUCGAGUUAAGAAAAGCCAACUCCACAAACAAUAAUAUUCAGAGAUAAGAAAAGAAAUUCAAUCAGUUCUAAACCACACCCAAGAUUUGAUAAACACGAGUGACUGGAAUGUAGUAGAGUUUCACCUUGUACUGCUUCUUAAUUUGUGCUUCUUUUGUUCCGCACGCCUCGGACAGAGCCUUAAUAAUCGAAGCAUCCCCAAUCCCAAGCUCCAAUCCUUCAUGAGCUGGAGCAAUCCGGUUCGCCAAAAGGUAAACAACAGCCACCAAAUCCUCUGGCGUCGUUUCCAUCACAGUCCUCAACAUGUUACAAACAAUUGCAGUUAUCGCAAUCCGCCCUGAUUCUUUAGAAAUAGCAUCCAACGCCUUUGCUACAAACAUAAACGGCACCCUUUGUCCCUUUCCCCAAUAUGCCGCCUUCUUGGGAUCAAAACUUGCCGCCUUAUCCUUCAACUCAAGAAGGCUCUCAUCAGGAGUAAUUGCCACCUUAGGUUUCUUAACCACCGCUUCCUCACUUUUCCCCAGCUGGGCAUCCUUAACCUUGCUCGAAUCGUCAUUUUUCAUAUCUUUUUCCAGCUGGGCUUCUUUAAUUUGAGCUGAAUCAGGUUCUUUGACUGAAAUCGGAGCAGAAUUUUGAGAAGUGAUGAUGGGGGUGGGGGUUUUGCGUUUCUUGGGAGAUGGUUUUUGUUGUUUCUGCUCGGACUUUUUCUUGCUGGCAUUGGACAUGAGGAGGUCGAAGGCAGAAGGGCGAGAAGCCAUUGCUGCUAGUGAUCCUGGAUUAACUAAUGGAAUCGAGAGAAAGAGGGAUCUCUGAGAGAAGGGUUUUGCGGGGAAGGAAGAAUAGAUGAGAAAGUAGGGCUUAAAGCCGAGUGGUUUUCUGAGGGGAUGAAGCGAAAGAGUGUGGUGCGUAAAGUGGAGUGAAGAAGAGCAUGACCUGAAUGCGGUGAGCAACAGCUGCCGUUUUUCUGCUACGGAGAGGGAGACAACUGACACGGGUUGCUGUUGCGGAUGCGGAUGGCUAGGAGGGAAGAGGAAGGCAAAUGGCAGGAAAGGAAAUUGAGGGUUUUGUGCACUUAGGAUUGAAAAUUGCCAGAAAAGCCUUUGGAAAAAAAUUGCUGGGGAAGCCUUUUUUGGUGUUUGGGUGAUGAGUUGUUAGCAAAAUCUUGAGAGAGGGACUAAAAUUUUCAUUUCGUAAGCUAGCAAUAGGUGACUUGAAAUUUGUGAUUUGAAGGUUUGAGGUGUACCCCCCAAAAAAAUAAUAACAAAGUCGUAAGCUAGCAAUAGGCAGACUAGUGAGUUAGUGGUUUAUUAGUGGUUUAUUAUACGUUUUCUUUCACUAUGUUCACACUCUGAAGUCUGAAUUAUUCCAACCCAAUUGAUGAAAAAUGUUUUAAAAAUGUUUAGGACAAGUGCAAUAUCCACAUAGUUUAUUUUUGUGAUAUGUCGCAUCGUGGAGUGGAAACGGCAUGCAUAUAUGCUUGGGCUCGUGAGUUAUCAAGUAAUUUAGAUUAAUCAUAUUUUGUACCAUAAUUUGGCUCAAAAGUUAAUUAGGCCAACCCGUGGAUCAAAAGCGUUACAAUUUUGACUUAUUUUAUUGAUUCAAGUUUGUUCAAAAACUUUUUUUGGUAAAAAAUUUAUGCGACAUGGAAACAUAAUUUGGUGAAUUCACAAAACCAUGUAUAUUGCACAUGCCAAAAUCAGCUCGAAAGUGGAUUGUCCAACCCAAUUGUAAUGAUACAAGUUUUAAAAGAUUAGCAAAGAUGCAUACGAAGGUAUAAAAAGGUGAUUAGCAAAUGUGUUUACGAAAAUUUUUUUUUUUAAAAGAAAACAGUUUUCCAAAAUUUUAACUCUCGCACCCAUUCCUACACUUUUCUACUCCCAACUGUCAAGUUCAGAAUUCGAACUUUGAACUCGACGACGUUGGUCAUUGGACCAAUACCAAUGCUUAAUUUUACCAAACUUGCAAAACAAGAAAUAAGAAAUAAAGACCGACCAAAACGUCUAUAAGUAUACUGAUCAUCACAAAUAAUAUAAAUCUGUUUUGACUUGCCAAACUUAGGUUAUUUGCAUGAGUUUCUUCAUUGUUUUUUAAUUUUAAUAAUAAUUGAUAUCCCUCUUCUGAAGGUCUCUCCAUAGUCUCCACACACGGGGUUGAUGGAACAGUUUUUGAAUGAGAGCCAUUCAAGUCAUGUUGUUGAUUGGAGUUCCAGAAAAAAAAAAACUCCAAAUUCCGUCUGCAACUGGCUGUGGCGGUACGCUGGUAUAGAACAAAAAAUCUAUAAUAAGAUAAACAAUGGAAUGUAGUUGUAAUGAUGAACCCCUACCUAAACCUAAAUAAACGGAAUAAUUAAUACACCACCAAAUCAAUAAUUGUAUCAUAUUCUACAUGUUCUUUCCUUCUCGAACUAGCUUGAAACUGGUUUUGAUACGUCAGGUUUCUUUACAGGGACUAGACUACAACUACUUGUAUGGAGGAAGAAACUCCAAGUUCCUGAGUCCACGAAUUUCGGAUCCCACCAGUGAUUUUUGUGUUGUUGGUCAUGAUUAGUUUCUUCUUAUCUUCUCUCCAGUGCAGGACGGUUGGUCAACUGAACAUGCAAGUUGAUAAUUGCUCAAUUCUUCAAUGAUAAUAAUGUUGAUGAAAAACUCACAAAUUAUGCAGAACGAUCUGGAGCAGAAGGGCCUGCAUUGAUUGCUUAUCAUGAGAAUCCACUUCACUUGGGCAGAGAGCUAGGGGGUGAGCAUGAGAAAUGGCAGCUACCCGUUUGGAUUGCAUUUUCCGUCAUUUUUCAUGGAAAAAUUACUGUAGCGAUUUGAUGUACGUAAGAAAAAAAGAUAAUAGAAAAAUGUGUUCACGAAAAACGACGCAAUUUUCUGUUAAAAAAUGGCAAUCCAAACACACUGGCUUCAACUACUUGGUCCACUAAUAUUGCUGCUGCAUAUGGAGGUUGAGAAACAGGGAUGGUGUUGGUUUGUGGGUCCCCCAUAGACUGACUUUAGGGUCCGUUCUUUCGUUGACUCAUGAGUGUUUCUAAUCUAACUGUGUGUGUUCUUCUUCUGUCUAUAGAAAAAAGAAAGUGUAGUAAACUUUUUUCAUUCUUAUUACUCCCUCUGUCCCACUUGGAUAGUCCUGUUUUUUUCACACAAUUUAAGGAAAAAUAGUUAAUUUUGUUGAAAAAGUAAAUUUAGAUUGCCAUUUUUCUAAAAUAUCCUUACAUUAAAUAUGGUACAACUUUAUGGGAACUUAGAAUUGAUGGUAAAAAAAGAAUAAACUCUCAUUAAAUGGAGUAGAUUUAUAGUAACAACUACUUACAUUGAAUAACGGUAUAUUAGAAAAAUUAAAAUACAACUACAUUCUUCAAUUGAAAAGUGGACUACAAUUUGAGAUACAUGAAAAAGGAAUACAGGACUAUCAAAGUGGGACGGAGGGAGUAUGAUACUUUUAUUAUAGUUCAUAAGCCCAAAAAAAAAAAGAAAGAAAGUGUAGUAACAUUUGAUUCGUAGUCAUUAUAUAUAUUAUUAAAAUGCAUGCAUAUACAUUUAUAAUAUUUUUUUAAUUUAAUUUCACCCUUUCAAAAAAAGUACUACUGUAUGAAAUCUAUUUUGGCAGUGUCCACUAGAUAGCAUUAGACAAUUAAGACAUAAUAGGGAUUGCAAUAAUGUUUUAAAAAAAAAAAAUUUCCAAUCAGUAACCGACACACUACUCAUUUUCCAAAAUCAGCUCUUGUAAUUCCACUUUCACCUGCAGUUCACGGGCUUCCCAUAGAAAAUCCAUCCUAAUUUAAACUGUGCAGUUUUUGCGGGGAGACCAUCCAUCUCCAUCUGGUAGGUCAAGACUUGUAUAGGAUUUAGGCUACUGAUUGAUGAGUCAACAAAAAAAAAAUAAAAAAACAAAAAGAAAGAAUCUUUACCCCUGAAGUUUAAACAAACAAAACAUUAAAUUAUUGUAGACAUGACCUCGUGGAAAUCUGCUCUUAUUAAAAUGUUUUGAAAUUAACCAAGCAGACAAAAGAAGAUUUGGCAUUCCAAGAAAUACAAAAUUAGUGUCAGUUAAUAAGGGUUAAUUUGGUUUCUUUCUCAUGUUUGGUGUCCCUCUUCAUGUUGCUUCGAUUUGGUCGCAUAAAUUACAAAGGAGAGUGACUAAACAAUUGACCAAAAGAGAACAGAACAGAAUGGAACAUUUGCAAUGUUGUCAUGGAGUUCGAUCUGACAAGAUGUGGAGUAGAUCACUCUAUAUUUUAUCGGCAUUCUAAUGCUAGUAAAAUUUUAUUAGUUGUUUAUGUGAAAAAUAUUGUGAUUACAAGUGAUGAUGUUGUGAGGAUCCAGAAACUUAAAUCCAAUCUGCAGGCAAACUUUCAGACAAAAGAUUUAGGUCAUCUACAGUAUUUUUUGUGUAUUGAGGUAGCUCGGUCUAAAUAUGGGAUUUAUUUAUGUCAAAGGAAAUAUGUACUCAAUAUGUUGAGUGAAGUUGGGAUGUUAGGUUGCCGACCUGUGGAUACUCCUAUGGAUCCCAAUGUGAAAUUAGUAGGAGAUCAAGGUGCAUUACUUGAUGAUCCUAAGCAAUAUCGAAGACUUGUGGGUAAAUUAAAUUAUCUCACUGUAACGAGAUCUGACAUUUCAUUUGCAGUGUGUGUUGUGACUCAAUUUCUUGAUGCCCCUCGUACUAGUAAUUGGGAUGCUGUUAUACGAAUUUCCAAGUAUCUUAAGAGUGCUUCUGAGAAAGGGUUGUUGUAUCAAAAUCAUGGACAUACUGAUAUUGAAGGAUAUAGUGAUGCAGAUUGGACUGGUUCUGCCUCAGAUCGAAAAUCGACCAAAGGAUAUUGUGUGUUUGUUGGUGGUAAUUUAGUGUCGUGCAAGAGUAAGAAGCAAACAAUUGUCUCCAGAUCAAGUGUAGAAUCUGAAUGACUCACUGUAUGUGAGUUGGUUUGGUUGAAGAGCAUGUUACUUGAAAUUGAGUUUGAGCAUAAACAGUGAUGCGAACUCGACCCAAUAAGAACCUGUCAUGAAGAACCGAAUCGAUCAGGCAGCGGAAGGAUCUAUCUUGAUCAGGUUAUGGAACAAUAACUACCUUGCUAGACCUAAAGAGAACCUGUCUCUAGAAACCUAGUGGAUUGGUUAUUGGCUUGAAAGAACAAGAUGAUGUGAUCAUCUUGCCUUGAACACCACAAGUAUCCAAGCUAAAUAUUUGAUACUGUUCAAGAAGAAACUCAAGUUCCAUCAAGGAACUCCAUAAAAGGAGACAACUCUCUUUUUAUUAAUUCAUCUUCAAUCUGCUCUCCCAAUAGUUAAAUAAAGUUGGCUAUUUAUAGCCUUACAAGACUCAAAACCCUAAUCUAAAUUGGAAACAAUACAAGUUUUCUUAUUUGACUCGACUUCUAAACUUGACUAAAUCUCCUAAACAAAUUUGGAAGCAAUUAACUGCUUUCCUAAAACUCUAAUUCAACUAGAAUAGGAAACUAACUAAUUCAAAUUGGCUUAACUAUGGUCAACAUGACCCUAGCCUUUAUUCCCUAAUUCAAGCAACUUACUUAACUCUCAAUUUGGAAAUCAAUCAAGAUAUCAAUCAAGAUACCAAUCAAGAUUUGGAAGCCAAUUAAAAUUUGGAACAUUUGGAUCUUCAAUGAUUCUCGAGCCUGAUUGCACCAUCAACCAUCAUUAGAAUGUGAAGACUUGUAAAAUGAAAGGAAUCCAUGUAAAUUUUCAUGUUCUCAUCAUCCCCCUCCUCUUGAAAGACGAUUUGUCCUCAAAUCGAGUGCUUGUUUACAAAGGAGUAACUCGAAGAAUGUCUUGAUAUAUGUAAUCCAAGAAGCAUGACGCCAACUCAACUUGAUUAUGAACACAACCCAUUGCACAUGCUCCAUUUGUCAAAGAAUAUCUUCACCCAAUUGUACUUGGCUAGAAUUUGGAAGUUCAGUUUAGUUGAUUCUUGGAUUCACGUUUGGAAAGCAAAUUGCUAGUUUGAAAAGGUUUCCUAAGUGUAUGUUUGGAUUUUGGCAGCUGAUAAUAUGAACCAAGACUAACAAGAAUUAGAAAUCAAGAAUGUGGAAAUAAAAUUCCAAAUCCCUCUCAAUUUCCAAAUCUAACGCAAGGCUGCCUUUUUUUUUUCUUCUUUCUGUCCUUUUUGUUCUAACUUGCCAAUUCAACAAAACAAGGUAGCCGCACUUCAAGAUUCAAGAGAAUGACUUUUAGAGUUGUCAAAAUCUCAAGAUUUUUUUUUUCAAGAACCCACUAUACAAUCCAAGAACUUCAAGAAAUUAUCAAGCCAACUACAAGAAGUAAGAACAACAAGAAACAAACACAAGGUAUGGAGGAAAAGAAAAAAAAAGAAAAAAAAUUUCGGAUGAACAGUACCGCUACAGUUGCGGUGAUGAACAGUACUGCUAUAGUUGCAAACAGUGCCGAUGACCAGUAUUCUUUUUUUUUUUUUUGACGACUCGAUGCAAGGUUAGGAUUUCACUUGGAAGAAAUUUAAUGGGAGUUAAACCCUUGAAAAACCUGUUUUCAAGAACGUAAUCACACCAAAAAAUUUCAAUCUCGAUCAAUCAAGGGGGGUAAGUUAGACUCAAGUGAUAAAAUAAAAAUAAAUAAAAAACAAGAAUCAAAAUUUUUUUUCCUCUUUAAAUCAAAAGGCGGCUAAGGUUUCGAUAGAAAAAAAAUAGAAAAAUAAGAAAAGAAAAAAGGAUAUUAACCUGAAUCAAGAGCCGAAGCUCUGAUACCAGAUGAUGCGAACUCGACCCAAUAAGAACCUGUCUUGAAGAACCGAAUCGAUCAGGCAGCGGAAGGAUCUAUCUUGAUCAGGUUAUGGAACAAUAACUACCUUGCUAGAUCUAAAGAGAAUCUGUCUCUAGAAACCUAGUGGAUUGGUUAUUGGCUUGAAAGAACAAGAUGAUGUGAUCAUCUUGCCUUGAACACCACAAGUAUCCAAGCUAAAUACUUGAUACUGUUCAAGAAGAAACUCAAGUUCCAUCAAGGAACUCCAUAAAAGGAGACAACUCUCUUUUUAUUAAUUCAUCUUCAAUCUGCUCUCCCAAUAGUUAAAUAAAGUUGGCUAUUUAUAGCCUUACAAGACUCAAAACCCUAAUCUAAAUUGGAAACAAUACAAGUUUCCUUAUUUGACUCGACUUCUAAACUUGACACAAUUUUCUAAACAAAUUUGGAAGCAAUUAACUGCUUUCCUAAAACUCUAAUUCAACUAGAAUAGGAAACUAACUAAUUCAAAUUGGCUUAACUAUGGUCAACAUGACCUUAGCCUUUAUUCCCUAAUUCAAGCAACUUACUUAACUCUCAAUUUGGAAAUCAAUCAAGAUAUCAAUCAGGAUACCAAUCAAGAUUUGGAAGCCAAUUAAAAUUUGGAACAUUUGGAUCUUCAAUGAUUCUCGAGCCUGAUUGCACCAUCAACCAUCAUUAGAAUGUGGAGACUUGUAAAAUGAAAGGAAUCCAUGCAAAUCUUCAUGUUCUCAUCAAACAGCUUAUAAAUCUAGUGUGUGAUAAUCAGGCAGCUGUCCAUAUUGCGUCUAAUCCAGUGUUUCAUGAAAGGACAAAACAUAUUUAAGUUAAUUGUUACUUCAUUCGAGGGAAAUUGCUUGACGGAGUCAUCAAGACAUCUCAUGUACCGUCUGUAGAUCAAUUGGCUGAUUUGUUUACCAAGAAUUUAGGGGGCUCUAGGGUGAAAUACAUUUAUGAUAUAUAUGCUCCAACUUGAGGGGGAGUGCUAGGAGAAUAUCAAUAUUUUUGUAGAUAAUAUUAGUAAGGGUAUUCUUGUAAAUAGUUGGUUAGGUUUGUACUCGUAUAAAUACUAGUUGGUCACUCAUAAUACAGUGACUAGAUGUUUUCCUCCCAAGAUACCUGUUGACAGACUUAAAAAAAUCCAAGAGUCUUUUGCCCAAUGCUAAAAGCAGAUAAAGAUAUAAACAUCAUUGAACAAAAAUUAGCAUACAUGCCUUCGACUGUCAAGCUGUGCUUGUAGAAGAGGUUGGCCAUUGAUAUACAAGAUAUCAAAAGCAUAUAUGCAAACACCAACCUUUAUUUCACUCAAGACCACAUUUUUACGAGCCCGUGUGCUGAGGACCUGCCACCAAUUCAUACUUUUAAGUCUGAAUUUGUAAUACCAUUCUUACAACUCUAGCAUUUCAUCAAGUAACAAUUCAUGUGUGACACUCUUUCCAGCAAAAUGAAAAGCUGAACACCAGAAGAAGCUGGCUCCUUAAUGACAAGAAAUAUACUUAGAAGGAUAAAGUGUAGAGACAACAUAUGUUUAGGAAACCUAAGUGUGUCCCCUUUAUCCUCCUGGUGGGUGGUAGGGACAUGGUCAGUGGAAAAGAAUAGCCUGAUAUAUAUAAAUCAGUAAAAUUUGUGGACAUGUUACAAGAUUAAGCCAAGGCCCCUGAUGGAGACUAAUGAUGGUCUGUUUGCCAAAGCAUGACUUGAAUUACCUAAAAGAAACUAAAAAAAGUGCUUAUACAAAAGCAUCAAAUCAAAUACAAUAUAUUCCAAAUUCAAUUUUCAAGUUGUUUGGCCUAACAUCCAUGUAGCAUCAUCACCCCUCAAAGUGUAAAUUCCUCAUUUGAUCAACAAAAAGUAACCCAAUUAGUAAUGAAUAUGAAAUCUACCCUUAGUCAUAUUCAUCAAAAUUUCACCACCUUCAAAUAUUUUAGAGCAGACACUGGACAGAUCAAAUUGGCCGAAACUUUAAUACCUCAACACUCAAAAAUCUCCAGUUCCUAUCAUAGAAAAUCAAGAAUUAUAUGACAUCAACUGACUCAAAUGAAGCACCUGAAAUAGAUGCAAGAAAGAAGUUGCACGUGUAGUUUCAAGAUAUCCCAUAGGGGGACUGAAGGUGUCGGGAAGCAUUUCAUGUGACAGGCCCCAGGCAUGCCCUAUUUAAGUUCAUGAUGAGAUAGCCCAUAAUAGAUAGCCCUAGGAUUUUGAGCAUGCUCAAUACCAAGAUGAUUCUUACAGCACCCAAAGUUGUUGAGUUCACAAACGAAAAACAAAGAUGACUCGACCACUUUCUUCCCAAUACAGGAUUGAAGGAGAUUUGUUACUUUGCCAAUUUAAUACUUCAGCAUUGAUUGUACAUAAAUUAUUAAAAUUGUAUAUGUUGUUGUCAUAUGCCACAAUAAAGAUCAUGAAGGCUACACAAUAAGCAAUGCUAGAGCCAGAAUGGGAGACUUAAAUCAGUUAGCAAUCGAUUUUUCUAUUUAACUUCAAUUGUUCUGAUGUGCUAGCAUAGUUAAAAGGACCACUUCAGCAGGCCCAUGACAAAAUCAAAUUUACAAAGAUCUUGCACUUAGGCAAGCUCAAUAUUACAGAAGUAAACAGUUCACCUGGAAGGGGAGAAUUUUUUUCUUCUCACGAUCAAAUGCAACAAUUUCACAAUCAAGAACAAAUGAGGUUACAGACGGCCUUUUAAACCUGCAAUAAAACAGCUAAAUGUCAGGAAAAUUGAGAGAGAUUUUCUGGCAGACUUUUAAUGUUAGUAGGAAACAACUAGUCAUUCUUAAAAAUAAUCUCUACUGAUAUACUCUCAUACCCAACUAUGUAAAUUAUGUUUCUGCACAUUAAGAAAGCAAUAGACUACAAAAACCCAUCAUGAGAAGGCCCACCACAGCAGUGAAAGUACAGUGCUAAGCUCACACUGCCUUACUCAACCAAGUAAAGAGACUCUUCCUAUUCAUCAAACCAUUAACCAGCUUGUGACAGCAUGUUCCAAAUCAAAGUUGGAAUGGGCUACAAUAAAAGUACCUUGAAAUUGCAUCCACAACAUCAGGAUACUUUCCAGUGUUUCUUUCUGCAUUUCGACUAUAUAUCUCCACUGUACCAUCCUCCAUGUAGUGAAUCUGCAGGACAUGGUUAGACAAACACACAUCACCAAGACUGUGAAAGGAAAGGCAUAUAACAUAGGCGUCAUGUCUAGUUUCUUGCUACCUGAGCACGUUCUCCAUCAUACUUGUAUUCACAGGUGAAUUCAAUAUCCUGAAACUUAUCCAAUAUUUCAGAAACUCCCUUAGUUCGUUUUGCUAGCAUAGGUCCAACAGGAACACCAGGUGAAAAGCUACAUGUCUUGGGAAGAUCCCAUACACCAUCAGCAAGAAGAGCAUGGAUUAUUUUAUCAUAGACUGGAAUUACCGAGUAAACUUGUUUCACGAUUUUAGCAGCCUAAGGGAAGGAAAGCAAUUUCACAACAUGUUUAUGCAAUAAAAAAAAACUCUCUUAAAUUUGCACAUAGUAUUAGCACAAUAAUAAAAUCUAAUUAAAAAAUUGAUUCAAACUCUCUCAGAAGUUUAAAUUCAUGCCAAGAUACCUCUUCUAAAGAAGAAUCUAUAUUUGCAGGAGUUGAAGAUUGCUUAUCAGCAUAAACUGCAGCAUGGCCCAAAGCAGCUAACAGAGUUUGUUCAGCUAAACCAAUGCGCAGUUUAGCCUGCAUGUAGAGUUCAAGAAUAAUUUUCAGGGAUUAAAGGUGCCAAUUUGUGAUAUUAGAUCUUCAAUUGUCUCACCUGGAGCAGACGAAUCAAGUACUGAGGUUCACAAUCAGUAGCAGCAACCAGUAGUGCCUUGAUAUGAUUCUUUUUCUUCUCUUGACUAUCCUUACCAGAUUCCUAAUGCAAAUCACGUAGAGAUACAUUUACAAAACUAAAAGAAGUAAACCGUUAUGCUCUUCUCUAGAUCAAUAAAUUAUAAGUUAAUAUACAAGCACCAAUUCAUGUGCAUAUCUCGGCUGAUUACCCAUCAUCCCAAAAAAAAAGCCUCUCUCUCUCCCCCCUGAUGUUCAACUUUUCUCACCCGUCUCUCUCUCUUCCGUUUCCUCUGUAAUCUUUAUCUUAUUCUCGCUCUCUCUCUCUCUCUCUCUACCUAUGCUUCUCUUGCCACCCUCGCAACUUUCACUUUUACCUCCUAACCCAUCCUCUCCUCUACCGGUCAGCCCUCCAUUCAACAUGCAAUGACCAUGGAAGCCAAGCUAGAGAUAGAUAAUUGAGGUUUUUUUUUUUAUUGGUCUCAUAGUAGAUCAGCCUUUCCUACAUGUUAACAGUGUUGUGGGGGUGUUGUUGGGAAUUCAUGAUGGAUCAAAGUUUUGAUUAACAGUUUGUGGUGAUUUUGGCGGUUUUGCAGAUAUAUGAAAUUUUGAAAAAAUAGUGUGUUGUCAUUUGAAAUUGGUGGGGAUUAGUGGGAUGAUUCAAAGAGUUGAAAACAUUUCUAGUUUGGCAAGAAUGGAUGUGAUGUUAGCAGCUGCUUUUGUUGUUUGUUGUUGGCUGAGUUUUUUUUUUUUCAAUUUCGUUGUUGGCUGAGUUCGGUGGCGGUCUAGUUGCAGUCAUACAGAGUCCAUUUGGGAAGAAAGAUAACAAAGUUGGCAAAAGGGGGCAAAGAAUUAGCUAGACAUACUAAAAAAAAAUUCAGUGGAUUCCUAUUUCACCACAACAAACCAAACAUACGAAAAGAAGUUGCUAAAACCCAUUACGAUUGAGGACCUUUGAUACUCAUUGCUACUGCCAUUCCAGAAUACCAACCAAACAGGUAGUUAGUGUACUCUAGCUCUAAAACAUUUCAAAAAAUAGAUUUCAAGUUUCAUGUAUCGAAACCAAUAAAGGCAGCUAUGAAUAUCUUAAGGAAUAAGGCAAUCCAGUUUAACUCUCAUCUACAGCGAAUAAGAUCAAAGCUCAUCAUCGAAGUCCAUGAAAUGGGAAAAUUCCAAGGUACCUUAGCAAUAAGGCGAAAUGUAUCAAAAACUUUAACAACAGUUAGUGCUUCUGGUUUGCGCAUUAAAGACUGAGACGAACGGCUUGCUUUUGCAACAAGGCCUAGAUCACCAAGCUCCUGAGGCAAGUCGGAUAGUGAAGUAAUCCUUCAAAAUCAAAAAGAAGAAAGAAAUUGCGGGCAAAAACUUGCAGGAUUUUGAUAUGUCAGGAGAUUCCUGCACACAAAUUAUUAAGCAAAUAUAACUCGACUACACCAUUCGGAAGCUUUGAAUGAAAUUCUGCUCCUCUAACUACAAAAUUUCUUAAAACAAGUGCAGUGUACUCAUUGCAGAAAGAUCAGCCAGAGCCUUCCAUUAAAUCAAGCAACUAGAGUCACAGAAGUCAAGUAAAUCAUAAAGAGAAUAAAUGAUAAAUAUUUUUUUGCAAAUUGUAUCUUAGAUCAAUUAAAAAAAAAAAUUUCCAGACAAGCUACAACGUACAAAAUGUAACAACAACCAACGUACAGCUGCAGCCAAAGAAAGUAACAAGGUAAAACUAAAGCAGCUUCUCAAAUAAUGCAGUUAUUUCGUAGAACCAAAAUCGAGCCCAAAACUAAAAUCACAGGCAAAGGGUCGAAUGUUUUUGACAUCAACAUAGCACCAAAGCUAAAUUCAAAAUAUUCAAUUAAAUGUGGCAUUUGACUGGACAAGCUUUUUUUCUAAUCCCAUUCUUGAUAAUUUGUAUAAGAACAAUAGUGCUGUACUGAGUUAGUAGAUACCUUGGAAACCGAAUCAGACAACACAAUAAUCACCAUAGCAGCAUUCUACAGCAUUGAAGCCACAGCUAGGCAGAGACCUAAAUACAGCGUGGGACUUAUGUUUCUUUCUCCUCCCCUAUUCUCCAUCUCAUUUAUUAAUGUUUUGCAAUUAAUGAAACAAGGCCAAAAAUCUCUAGAAUUUCAUUUACUAGAACUGAGAACAAGUUACCAGCGAUCAUUCUGUCAUUUCACUUGAGGUACAAUUUCUUUAAUUUCUUGGCAUCGAGUUAAGAAAAGCCAACUCCACAAACAAUAAUAUUCAGAGAUAAGAAAAGAAAUUCAAUCAGUUCUAAACCACACCCAAGAUUUGAUAAACACGAGUGACUGGAAUGUAGUAGAGUUUCACCUUGUACUGCUUCUUAAUUUGUGCUUCUUUUGUUCCGCACGCCUCGGACAGAGCCUUAAUAAUCGAAGCAUCCCCAAUCCCAAGCUCCAAUCCUUCAUGAGCUAGAGCAAUCCGGUUCGCCAAAAGGUAAACAACAGCCACCAAAUCCUCUGGCGUCGUUUCCAUCACAGUCCUAAACAUGUUACAAACAAUUGCAGUUAUCGCAAUCUGCCCUGAUUCUUUAGAAAUAGCAUCCAACGCCUUUGCUACAAACAUAAACGGCACCCUUUGUCCCUUUCCCCAAUAUGCCGCCUUCUUGGGAUCAAAACUUGCCACCUUAUCCUUCAACUCAAGAAAGCUCUCAUCAAGAGUAAUUGCCACCUUAGGUUUCUUAACCACCGCUUCCUCACUUUUCCCCAGCUGGGCAUCCUUAACCUUGCUCGAAUCGUCAUUUUUCAUAUCUUUUUCCAGCUGGGCUUCUUUAAUUUGAGCUGAAUCAGGUUCUUUGACUGAAAUCGGAGCAGAAUUUUGAGAAGUGAUGAUGGGGGUGGGGGUUUUGCGUUUCUUGGGAGAUGGUUUUUGUUGUUUCUGCUCGGACUUUUUCUUGCUAGCAUUGGACAUGAGGAGGUCGAAGGCAGAAGGGCGAGAAGCCAUUGCUGCUAGUGAUCCUGGAUUAACUAAUGGAAUUGAGAGAAAGAAGGAUCUCUGAGAGAAGGGUUUUGCAGGGAAGGAAGAAUAGAUGAGAAAGUAGGGCUUAAAGCCGAGUGGUUUUCUGAGGGGAUGAAGCGAAAGAGUGUGGUGCGUAAAGUGGAGUGAAGAAGAGCAUGACCUGAAUGCGGUGAGCAACAGCUGCCGUUUUUCUGCUACGGAGAGGGAGACAACUGACACGGGUUGCUGUUGCGGAUGCGGAUGGCUAGGAGGGAAGAGGAAGGCAAAUGGCAGGAAAGGAAAUUGAGGGUUUUGUGCACUUAGGAUUGAAAAUUGCCAGAAAAGCCUUUGGAAAAAAAUUGCUGGGGAAGCCUUUUUUGGUGUUUGGGCGAUGAGUUGUUAGCAAAAUCUUGAGAGAGGGACUAAAAUUUUCAUUUCGUAAGCUAGCAAUAGGUGACUUGAAAUUUGUGAUUUGAAGGUUUGAGGUGUACCCCCCAAAAAAAUAAUAACAAAGUCGUAAGCUAGCAAUAGGCAGACUAGUGAGUUAGUGGUUUAUUAGUGGUUUAUUAUACGUUUUCUUUCACUAUGUUCACACUCUGAAGUCUGAAUUAUUCCAACCCAAUUGAUGAAAAAUGUUUUAAAAAUGUUUAGGACAAGUGCAAUAUCCACAUAGUUUAUUUUUGUGAUAUGUCGCAUCGUGGAGUGGAAACGGCAUGCAUAUAUGCUUGGGCUCGUGAGUUAUCAAGUAAUUUAGAUUAAUCUUAUUUUGUACCAUAAUUUGGAUCAAAGGUUAAUUAGGCCAACCCGUGGAUCAAAAGCGUUACAAUUUUGACUUAUUUUAUUGAUUCAAGUUUGUUCAAAAACUUUUUUUGGUAAAAAAUUUAUGCGACAUGGAAACAUAAUUUGGUGAAUUCACAAAACCAUGUAUAUUGCACAUGCCAAAAUCAGCUCGAAAGUGGAUUGUCCAACCCAAUUGUAAUGAUACAAGUUUUAAAAGAUUAGCAAAGAUGCAUACGAAGGUAAAAAAAGGUGAUUAGCAAAUGUGUUUACGAAAAAAAAAAUUUAAAAGAAAACAGUUUUCCAAAAUUUUAACUCUCGCACCCAUUCCUACACUUUUCUACUCCCAACUGUCAAGUUCAGAAUUCGAACUUUGAACUCGACGACGUUGGUCAUUGGACCAAUCCCAAUGCUUAAUUUUACCAAACUUGCAAAACAAGAAAUAAGAUAUAAAGACCGACCAAAACGUCUAUAAGUAUACUGAUCAUCACAAAUAAUAUAAAAUCUGUUUUGACUUGCCAAACUUAGGUUAUUUGCAUGAGUUUCUUCAUUGUUUUUUAAUUUUAAAAAUAAUUGAUAUCCCUCUUCUGAAAGUCUCUCCACAGUCUCCACACACGGGGUUGAUGGAACAGUUUUUGAAUGAGAGCCAUUCAUGUCAUGUUGUUGAUUGGAGUUCCAGAAAAAAAAAACUCCAAAUUCCAUCUGCAACUGGCUGUGGUGGUACGCUGGUACAGAACAAAAAAUCUAUAAUAAGAUAAACAAUGGAAUGUAGUUGUAAUGAUGAACCCCUACCUAAACCUAAAUAAACGGAAUAAUUAAUACACCACCAAAUCAAUAAUUGUAUCAUAUUCUACAUGUUCUUUCCUUCUCGAACUAGCUUGCAACUGGUUUUGAUACGUCAGGUUUCUUUACAGGGACUAGACUACAACUACUUGUAUGGAGGAAGAAACUCCAAGUUCCUGAGUCCACGAAUUUCGGAUCCCACCAGUGAUUUUUGUGUUGUUGGUCAUGAUUAGUUUCUUCUUAUCUUCUCCCCAGUGCAGGACGGUUGGUCAACUGAACAUGCAAGUUGAUAAUUGCUCAAUUCUUCAAUGAUAAUAAUGUUGAUGAAAAACUCACAAAUUAUGCAGAACGAUCUGGAGCAGAAGGGCCUGCAUUGAUUGCUUAUCAUGAGAAUCCACUUCACUUGGGCAGAGAGCUAGGGGGUGAGCAUGAGAAAUGGCAGCUACCCGUUUGGAUUGCAUUUUUCGUCAUUUUUCAUGAAAAAAUUACUGUAGCGAUUUGAUGUACGUAAGGAAAAAAGAUAAUAGAAAAAUGUGUUCACGAAAAACGACGCAAUUUUCUGGUAAAAAAUGGCAAUCCAAACACACUGGCUUCAACUACUUGGUCCACUAAUAUUGCUGCUGCAUAUGGAGGUUGAGAAACAGGGAUGGUGUUGGUUUGUGGGUCCCCCUUAGACUGACUUUAGGGUCCGUUCUUUCGUUGACUCAUGAGUGUUUCUAAUCUAACUGUGUGUGUUCUUCUUCUGUCUAUAGAAAAAAGAAAGUGUAGUAAACUUUUUUCAUUCUUAUUACUCCCUCCGUCCCACUUUGAUUGUCCUGUUUUUUUUCACACAAUUUAAGGAAAAAUAGUUAAUUUUGUUGAAAAAGUAAAUUUAGAUUGCCAUUUUUCUAAAAUAUCCUUACAUCAAAUAUGGUACAACUUUAUGGGAACUUAGAAUUGAUGGUAAAAAAAGAAUAAACUCUUAUUAAAUGGAGUAGAUUUAUAGUAACAACUACUUACAUUGAAUAAGGGUAUAUUAGAAAAAUUAAAAUACAACUACAUUCUUCAAUUGAAAAGUGGACUACAAUUUGGGAUAGAUGAAAAAGGAAUACAGGACUAUCAAAGUGGGACGGAGGGAGUAUGAUACUUUUAUUAUAGUUCAUAAGCCCAAAAAAAAAAGAAAGAAAGUGUAGUAACAUUUGAUUCGUAGUCAUUAUAUAUAUUAUUAAAAUGCAUGCAUAUACAUUUAUAAUAUUUUUUUAAUUUAAUUUCACCCUUUCAAAAAAAGUACUACUGUAUGAAAUCAAUUUUGGCAGUGUCCACUAGAUAGCAUUAGACAAUUAAGACAUAAUAGGGAUUGCAAUAAUGUUUUUUAAAAAAAAAUUUCCAAUCAGUAACCGACACACUACUCAUUUUCCAAAAUCAGCUCUUGUAAUUCCACUUUCACCUGCAGUUCACGGGCUUCCCAUAGAAAAUCCAUCCUAAUUUAAACUGUGCAGUUUUUGCGGGGAGACCAUCCAUCUACAUCUGGUAGGUCAAGACUUGUAUAGGAUUUAGGCUACUGAUUGAUGAGUCAACAAAAAAAAACAAAAAAACAAAAAGAAAGAAUCUUUACCCCUGAAGUUUAAACAAACAAAACAUUAAAUUAUUGUAGACAUGACCUCGUGGAAAUCUGCUCUUAUUAAAAUGUUUUGAAAUUAACCAAGCAGACAAAAGAAGAUUUGGCAUUCCAAGAAAUACAAAAUUAGUGUCAGUUAAUAAGGGUUAAUUUGGUUUCUUUCUCAUGUUUGGUAACUCUCUUCAUGCUGCUUCGAUUUGGUAGCAUAAAUUACAAAGGAGAGUGACUAAACAAUUGACCAAAAGAGAACAGGACAGAAUGGAACAUUUGCAAUGUUGUCAUGGAGUUCGAUCUGACAAGAUGUGGAGUAGAUCACUCUAUAUUUUAUCGGCAUUCUAAUGCUAGUAAAAUUUUAUUAGUUGUUUAUGUGAAAAAUAUUGUGAUUACAAGUGAUGAUGUUGUGAGGAUCCAGAAACUUAAAUCCAAUCUGCAGGCAAACUUUCAGACAAAAGAUUUAGGUCAUCUACAGUAUUUUUUGUGUAUUGAGGUAGCUCGGUCUAAAUAUGGGAUUUAUUUAUGUCAAAGGAAAUAUGUACUCAAUAUGUUGAGUGAAGUUGGGAUGUUAGGUUGCCGACCUGUGGAUACUCCUAUGGAUCCCAAUGUGAAAUUAGUAGGAGAUCAAGGUGCAUUACUUGAUGAUCCUAAGCAAUAUCGAAAACUUGUGGGUAAAUUAAAUUAUCUCACUGUAACGAGAUCUGACAUUUCAUUUGCAGUGUGUGUUGUGACUCAAUUUCUUGAUGCCCCUCGUACUAGUCAUUGGGAUGCUGUUAUACGAAUUUUCAAGUAUCUUAAGAGUGCUUCUGAGAAAGGGUUGCUGUAUCAAAAUCAUGGACAUACUAAUAUUGAAGGAUAUAGUGAUGCAGAUUGGACUGGUUCUGCCUCAGAUCGAAAAUCGACCAAAGGAUAUUGUGUGUUUUUGGUGGUAAUUUAGUGUCGUGCAAGAGUAAGAAGCAAACAAUUGUCUCCAGAUCAAGUGCAAAAUCUGAAUGACUCACUGUAUGUGAGUUGGUUUGGUUGAAGAGCAUGUUACUUGAAAUUGAGUUUGAGCAUAAACAACUUAUAAAUUUAGUGUGUGAUAAUCAGGCAGCUGUCCAUAUUGCGUCUAAUCCAGUGUUUCAUGGAAGGACAAAACAUAUUUAAAUUAAUUGUUACUUCAUUCGAGAGAAAUUGCUUGACGGAGUCAUCUAGACAUCUCAUGUACCGUAUGUAGAUCAAUUGGCUGAUUUGUUUACCAAGAAUUUAGGGGGCUCUAGGGUGAAAUACACUUAUGAUAUAUAUGCUCCAACUUGAGGGGGAGUGCUAGGAGAAUAUCAAUAUUUUUAUAGAUAAUAUUAGUAAGGGUAUUCUUGUAAAUAGUUGGUUAGGUUUGUACUCCUAUAAAUACUAGUUGGUCACUCAUAAUACAGUGAUUAGAUGUUUUCCUCCCAAGAUACCUGUUGACAGACUUAAAAAAAUCCAAGAGUCUUUUGCCCAAUGCUAAAAGCAGGUAAAGAUAUAAACAUCAUUGAACAAAAAUUAGCAUACCUGCCUUCGACUGUCAAGCUGUGCUUGUAGAAGAGGUUGGCCAUUGAUAUACAAGAUAUCAAAAGCAUAUAUGCAAACACCAACCUUUAUUUCACUCAAGACCACAUUUUUACGAGCCCGUGUGCUGAGGACUUGCCACCAAUUCAUACUUUUAAGUCUGAAUAUGUAAUACCAUUCUUACAACUCUAGCAUUUCAUCAAGUAACAAUUCAUGUGUGACACUCUUUCCAGCAAAAUGAAAAGCUGAACACCAGAAGAAGCUGGCUCCUAAAUGACAAGAAAUAUACUUAGAAGGAUAAAGUGUAGAGACAACAUAUGUUUAGGAAACCUAAGUGUGUCCCCUUUAUCCUCCUGGUGGGUGGUAGGGACAUGGUCAGUGGAAAAGAAUAGCCUGAUAUAUAUAAAUCAGUAAAAUUUGUGGACAUGUUACAAGAUUAAGGCAAGGCCCCUGAUGGAGACUAAUGAUGGUCUGUUUGCCAAAGCAUGAUUUGAAUUACCUAAAAGAAACUAAAAAAAGUGCUUAUACAAAAGCAUCAAAUCAAAUACAAUAUAUUCCAAAUUCAAUUUUCAAGUUGUUUGGCCUAACAUCCAUGUAGCAUCAUCACCCCUCAAAGUGUAAAUUCCUCAUUUGAUCAACAAAAAGUAGCCCAAUUAGUAAUGAAUCUACCCUUAGUCAUAUUCAUCAAAAUUUCACCACCUUCAAAUAUUUUAGAGCAGACACUGGACAGAUCAAAUUGGCCGAAACUUUAAUACCUCAACACUCAAAAAUCUCCAGUUCCUAUCAAAGAAAAUCAAGAAUUAUAUGACAUCAACUGACUCAAAUGAAGCACCUGAAAUAGAUGCAAGAAAGAAGUUGCACGUGUAGUUUCAAGAUAUCCCAUAGGGGGACUGAAGGUGUCGGGAAGCAUUUCAUGUGCCAGGCCCCAGGCAUGCCCCAUUUAAGUUCAUGAUGAGAUAGCCCAUAAUAGAUAGCCCUAGGAUUUUGAGCAUGCUCAAUACCAAGAUGAUUCUUACAGCACCCAAAGUUGAUGAGUUCACAAACGAAAAACAAAGAUGACUCGACCACUUUCUUCCCAAUACAGGAUUGAAGGAGAUUUGUUACUUUGCCAAUUUAAUACUUCAGCAUUGAUUGUACAUAAAUUAUUAACAUUGUAUAUGUUGUUGUCAUAUGCCACAAUAAAGAUCAUGAAGGCUACACAAUAAGCAAUGCUAGAGCCAGAAUGGGAGACUUAAAUCAGUUAGCAAUCGAUUUUUCUAUUUAACUUCAAUUGUUCUGAUGUGCUAGCAUAGUUAAAAGGACCACUUCAGCAGGCCCAUGACAAAAUCAGAUUUACAAAGAUCUUGCACUUAGGCAAGCUCAAUAUUACAGAAGUAAAUAGUUCACCUGGAAGGGGAGAAUUUUUUUCUUCUCACGAUCAAAUGCAACAAUUUCACAAUCAAGAACAAAUGAGGUUACAGACGGCCUUUUAAACCUGCAAUAAAACAGCUAAAUGUCAGGAAAAUUGAGAGAGAUUUUCUGGCAGACUUGUAAUGUUAGUAGGAAACAACUAGUCAUUCUUAAAAAUAAGCUCUACUGAUAUACUCUCAUACCCAACUAUGUAAAUUAUAUUUCUGCUCAUUAAGAAAGCAAUAGACUACAAAAACCCAUCAUGAGAAGGCCCACCACAGCAGUGAAAGUACAGUGCUAAGCUCAGACAGCCUUACUCAACCAAGUAAAGAGACUCUUCCUGUUCAUCAAACCAUUAACCAGCUUGUGACAGCAUGUUCCAAAUCAAAGUUGGAAUGGGCUACAAUAAAAGUACCUUGAAAUUGCAUCCACAACAUCAGGAUACUUUCCAGUGUUUCUUUCUGCAUUUCGACUAUAUAUCUCCACUGAACCAUCCUCCAUGUAGUGAAUCUGCAGGACAUGAUUAGACAAACACACAUCACCAAGACUGUGAAAGGAAAGGCAUAUAACAUAGGCGUCAUGUCUAGUUUCUUGCUACCUGAGCACGUUCUCCAUCAUACUUGUAUUCACAGGUGAAUUCAAUAUCCUGAAACUUAUCCAAUAUUUCAGAAACUCCCUUAGUUGGUUUUGCUAGCAUAGGUCCAACAGGAACACCAGGUGAAAAGCUACAUGUCUUGGGAAGAUCCCAUACACCAUCAGCACGAAGAGCAGGGAUUAUUUUAUCAUAGACUGGAAUUACCGAGUAAACUUGUUUCACGAUUUUAGCAGCCUGAGGGAAGGAAAGCAAUUUCACAACAUGUUUAUGCAAUAAACAAAAAACUCUCUUAAAUUUGCACAUAGUAUAAGCACAAUAAUAAAAUCUAAUUAAAAAAUUGAUUCAAACUCUCUCAGAAGUUUAAAUUCAUGCCAAGAUACCUCUUCUAAAGAAGAAUCUAUAUUUGCAGGAGUUGAAGAUUGCUUAUCAGCAUAAACUGCAGCAUGGCCCAAAGCAGCUAACAGAGUUUGCUCAGCUAAACCAAUGCGCAGUUUAGCCUGCAUGUAGAGUUCAAGAAUAAUUUUCAGGGAUUAAAGGUGCCAAUUUGUGAUGUUAGAUCUUCAAUUGUCUCACCUGGAGCAGACGAAUCAAGUACUGAGGUUCACAAUCAGUAGCAGCAACCAGUAGUGCCUUGAUAUGAUUCUUUUUCUUCUCUUGACUAUCCUUACCAGAUUCCGAAUGCAAAUCACAUAGAGAUACAGUUACAAAACUAAAAGAAUUAAACCGUUAUGCUCUUCUCUAGAUCAAUAAAUUAUAAGUUAAUAAACAAGCACCAAUUCAUGUGCAUAUCUCGGCUGAUUACCCAUCAUCCCAAAAAAAAAAGCCUCUCUCUCUCCCCCCUGAUGUUCAACUUUUCUCACCCGUCUCUCUCUCUUCCGUUUCCUCUGUAAUCUUUAUCUUACUCUCUCUCUCUCUCUCUCUCUACCUAUGCUUCUCUUGCCCCCCUCGCAACUUUCACUUUUACCUCCUAACCCAUCCUCUCCUCUACCGGUCAGCCCUCCCUUCAACAUGCAAUGACCAUGGAAGCCAAGCUAGAGAUAGAUAAUUGAGGUUUUUUUUUGUUGGUCUCAUGGUAGAUCAGCCUUUCCUACAUAUUAACAGUGUUGUGGGGGUGUUGUUGGGAAUUCAUGAUGGAUUAAAGUUUUGAUUAACAGUUUGUGGUGAUUUUGGCGGUUUUGCAGAUAUAUGAAAUUUUGAAAAAAUAGUGUGUUGUCAUUUGAAAUUGGUGGGGAUUAGUGGGAUGAUUCAAAGAGUUGAAAACAUUUCUAGUUUGGCAAGAAUGGAUGUGAUGUUAGCAGCUGCUUUUGUUGUUUGUUGUUGGCUGAGUUUUUUUUUUUCAAUUUCGUUGUUGGCUGAGUUCGGUGGCGGUCUAGUUGCAGUCAUACAGAGUCCAUUUGGGAAGAAAGAUAACAAAGUUGGCAAAAGGGGGCAAAGAAUUAGCUAGACAUUCUAAAAAAAAAAAUUCAGUGGAUUCCUAUUUCACCACAACAAACCAAACAUACGAAAAGAAGUUGCUAAAACCCAUUACGAUUGAGGACCUUUGAUACUCAUUGCUAUUGCCAUUCCAGAAUACCAACCAAACAGGUAGUUAGUGUACUCUAGCUCCAAAACAUUUCAAAAAAUAGAUUUCAAGUUUCAUGUAUGGAAACCAAUAAAGGCAGCUAUGAAUAUCUUAAGGAAUAAGGCAAUCCAGUUUAACUCUCAUCUACAGCGAAUAAUAUCAAAGCUCAUCAUCGAAGUCCAUGAAAUGGGAAAAUUCCAAGGUACCUUAGCAAUAAGGCGAAAUGUAUCAAAAACUUUAACAACAGUUAGUGCUUCUGGUUUGCGCAUUAAAGACUGAGACGAACGGCUUGCUUUUGCAACAAGGCCUAGAUCACCAAGCUCCUGAGGCAAGUCGGAUAGUGAAGUAAUCAUUCAAAAUCAAAAAGAAGAAAGAAAUUGCGGGCAAAAACUUGCAGGAUUUUGAUAUGUCAGGAGAUUCCUGCACACAAAUUAUUAAGCAAAUAUAACUAGACUACACCAUUCGCAAGCUUUGAAUGAAAUUCUGCUCCUCUAACUACAAAAUUUCUUAAAACAAGUGCAGUGUACUCAUUGCAGAAAGAUCAGCCAGAGCCUUCCAUUAAAUCAAGCAACUAGAGUCACAGAAGUCAAGUAAAUCAUAAAGAGAAUAAAUGAUAACUUUUUUUUUGCAAAUUGUAUCUUAGAUCAAUUAAAAAAAAAAAUUUUCCAGACAAGCUACAGCGUACAAAAUGUAACAACAACCAACGUACAGCUGCAGCCAAAGAAAGUAACAAGGUAAAACUAAAGCAGCUUCUCAAAUAAUGCAGUUACUUCGUAGAACCAAAAUCGAGCCCAAAACUAAAAUCACAGGCAAAGGGUCGAAUGUUUUUGACAUCAACAUAGCACCAAAGCUAAAUUCAAAAUAUUCAAUUAAAUGUGGCAUUUGACUGGACAAGCUUUUUUUCUAAUCCCAUUCUUGAUAAUUUGUAUAAGAACAAUAGUGCUUGUACUGAGUUAGUAGAUACCUUGCAAACCGAAUCAGACAACACAAUAAUCACCAUAGCAGCAUUCUACAGCAUUGAAGCCACAGCUAGGCAGAGACCUAAAUACAGCGUGGGACUUAUGUUUCUUUCUCCUCCCCUAUUCUCCAUCUCAUUUAUUAAUGUUUUGCAAUUAAUGAAACAAGGCCAAAAAUCUCUAGAAUUUCAUUUACUAGAACUGAGAACAAGUUACCCGCGAUCAUUCUGUCAUUUCACUUGAAGUACAAUUUCUUUAAUUUCUUGGCAUCGAGUUAAGAAAAGCCAACUCCACAAACAAUAAUAUUCAGAGAUAAGAAAAGAAAUUCAAUCAGUUCUAAACCACACCCAAGAUUUGAUAAACACAAGUGACUGGAAUGUAGUAGAGUUUCACCUUGUACUGCUUCUUAAUUUGUGCUUCUUUUGUUCCGCACGCCUCGGACAGAGCCUUAAUAAUCGAAGCAUCCCCAAUCCCAAGCUCCAAUCCUUCAUGAGCUGGAGCAAUCCGGUUCGCCAAAAGGUAAACAACAGCCACCAAAUCCUCUGGCGUCGUUUCCAUCACAGUCCUCAACAUGUUACAAACAAUUGCAGUUAUCGCAAUCCGCCCUGAUUCUUUAGAAAUAGCAUCCAACGCCUUUGCUACAAACAUAAACGGCACCCUUUGUCCCUUUCCCCAAUAUGCCGCCUUCUUGGGAUCAAAACUUGCCGCCUUAUCCUUCAACUCAAGAAGGCUCUCAUCAGGAGUAAUUGCCACCUUAGGUUUCUUAACCACCGCUUCCUCACUUUUCCCCAGCUGGGCAUCCUUAAUCUUGCUCGAAUC
rnacentral:lncRNA from 1 species